rnacentral:lncRNA from 1 species
UUUAGAAAAGUCCUUAAUGAACCUCCUAUAAAAACUGGCAUGACCAAGGAAACUUCUUAUACCUUUAAUGUCCUUGGGACAUGGCAUCUUUUCAAUAGCAUCAACUUUAGCUUUAUCAACUUCAAUACCUCUUUCAGAAAUUUUAUGCCCCAAGACAAUGCCUUCAUUAACCAUAAAGUGGCACUUUUCCCAAUUCAAGACGAGACUAGUGUCUUCACAUCUCUGCAAAAUUCGAUCUAGGUUGCUCAAGCAAUCAUCAAAAGAGGAUCCAUAAACGGAGAAGUCAUCCAUGAAUACCUCACAAAUCUUUUCAUAAAAGUCAGAGAAUAUAGCCAUCAUGCAUCUUUGAAAGGUAGCAGGUGCAUUACAUAAACCAAAAUGCAUACGUCUAUAAGCAAAAGUACUGAAAGGGCAAGUAAAAGUAGUUUUUGAUUGAUUCUCCGCUGACACAGGUAUUUGAGAGAAACCAGAAUAACCAUCUAGAAAGCAGAAAUGUGUAUGUUUGGAUAGUCUUUCUAGCAUUUGAUCAAUAAAAGGUAAAGGGUAAUCAUCUUUCUUAGUAGCUUUGUUUAAUUUACAGAAAUCAAUUACCAUCCUAUAACCUGUAAUAAUUCUUUGCGGGAUCAAUUCAUCUUUAUCAUUAGGAAAGAUAGUAAUACCUCCCUUUUUAGGAACGCAAUGGACAGGGCUUACCCACUCACUAUCAGCAACGGGAUAAAUUAUACCUGCCUCAAGGAGCUUUAGUAUCUCCUUUCUUACCACUUCUUUCAUUUUAGGAUUUAACCAUCGCUGAGGAUCCCUAACUGGUUUGGCAUCUUUCUCCAUUUUAUUUUGUGUUGGCAUAGAGUGGGACUAAUGCCCUUAAGAUCAUCCAGAGUAUAUCCAAUAGCAGCACGGUGCUUCUUCAGAGUUUUCAAUAAUCUUUCCUCUUCUUGCUCUGAAAGGUUAGCACUAAUAAUAAUAGGAUGUAUCUUCUUUUCAUCAAGAUAAACAUAUUUAAGAUUAUCAUGUAAUGGUUUGAGCUCUAACACGGGAUCACCCUUGGGUGGAGGGGGAUCCCCUAGGAUUUCAACAGGUAUAUGUUUCAGAAUAGGACCCUGUUGAAGGAAUACUUCAUCUAUUUCCCUUCUUUCAUUCAUAAACAUAUCAUUUUCAUGGUCUAGCAAAUAUUGUUCUAACGGAUCAGUGGGAGGUACGGCAAUAGAAGCAAGACCAAUAAUCUCAUCCUUACUAGAUGAUUCUUUAUCACGGGGUUGUCUAUGAAACUUAGCAAAAUUAAACUCAUGAGACAUAUCCCCUAAGCCAAUUGUAACAAUAUCCUUUUCACAAUCAAUCCUAGCAUUAACAGUAUUCAAGAAGGGUCUACCAAAUAUAAUGGGACAAAAGUCAUCUUGUGGGGAACCAAGAACAAGAAAAUUAGCAGGAUAUUUAACUUUCCCACACAAGACUUCAACAUUUCUAACAAUCCCAAAUGGCUUAAUAGUAUCCCUAUUGGCAAGCUUAAUAGUAACAUCAAUAUCUUCCAUUUCAGCGGGUGCAAUAUCAUGCAUAAUUUUUUUAUAUAAGUCAAAGGGUAUUGCACUAGCACUAGCACCCAUAUCACAUAAGCCAUGAUAACAAUGAUCUCCUAUUUUAACAGAAAUAACAGGCAUGCCUACAACAGGUCUAUGUAUCUUAGCAUCUGGUCUAGCAAUAUUAGCAGUUUCACCAUAGAAAUAAAUAACAUGCCCAUCUAAAUUAUCAUCCAAGAGAUCUUUAACCAUAGCAAUACUAGGUUCAACUUUGAUUUUCUCGGGGGGUGUAUAAGUUCUAGUAUUACUCUUACAAACAAAAGUUGAAGCUUUAGCAUGAUCCUUUAUCCUAACAGGAAAAGGUGGUUUCUCAACAUAAGUAGUAGGAACAAUAGGAUCAUUAUAAGUGAUAGUUUUUUCUUCAACUGUAAUAGGUGCAACUACUUUUACUUCAGUGAGAGGAUUAUAUUUAAACCACUUCUACUUAGGGAGAUCAACGUGAGUAGCAAAAGAUUCACAAAAAGCAGCUACUAUCUUAGAGUCAAGUCCAUAUUUAGCGCUAAAUCCACGAAAAGCAUCGGUAUCCAUAAAAGAUUUAACACAAUCAAACUUAGGUGUUAUACCUGACUCCUUACCAUCAUCGGAACCCCAAUCUUCAGAGUUGUGUUUAAUUCUUUCCAAUAAAUCCCACUUGAAUUCAGUAGUCUUCGGCAUAUAAGAACCAGCACAGGAAGUAUCGAGCAUGGUGCGAUCAUUGAGAGAAAGCGGAGCAUAAAAAUUUUGAAUAAUCAUUUCUCUUGAGAGCUCAUGAUUGGGGCAUCAAUAUAACAUUGACUUAAGCCUCCCCCAAGCUUGAGCGAUGCUUUCUCCUUCGCGAGGCCAAAAAUUAUAUAUGUAAUUACGAUCACGAUGGACAAGAUGCAUAGGAUAGAACUUCUGGUGGAAUUCCAACUUCAAUCGUUUAUAGUUCCAAGAUCCAGUAUCAUCACAUAGCCUAUACCAUGUCAAUGCGUCUCCCUUUAAAGAUCAAGGGAAGACCUUCCUUUUGACAACAUCAUCGGGAAUACCUGCAAGCUGAAAUAAUCCACAAACUUCAUCCACAAAGAUAAGGUGUAAAUCGGGAUGCAAUGUUCCAUCUCCUGCAAAGGGAUUAGCUAGCAGUUUCUCUAUCAUACCCGAAGGAAUCUCAAAGUAAAUAUUUUCAAUAGGUUCAGUAGGUUGAGGAGAAACUCUUUGCUCUAUUGGUCGGGGUGAAGAUACCCCGAACAAGCCCCUCAAAGGAUUAGUUUCCAUAGUAACAAGUGACAGAAAAUUUCAGCACACUAUAUAAAUAUUUCCUUACCAAGUUCAACUCACCAAAGGCGCUUCACUCCCCGACAACGUUGCCAGAAAAGAGUCUUGAUGACCCACAAGUAUAGGGGAUCUAUCGUAGUCCUUCCGAUAAGUAAGAGUGUCGAACCCAAUGAGGAGCAGAAGGAAAUGACAAGCGGUUUUCAGUAAGGUAUUCUCUGCAACCACUAAAAUUGUAGGUAACAGAUAGGUUUGUGAUAAGAUAAUUUGUAACUGGUAACAAGCAAUGAAAGUAAAUAAAGUGCAGCAAGGUGGCCCAAUCCUUUUUGUAGCAAAGGACAAGCCUAGACAAUUUCUUAUAAUGAGAAAAGCGCUCCCGAGGACACAUGGGAAUUAUCGUCAAGCCAGUUUUCAUCACGCUCAUAUGAUUCGCGUUCGAUACUUUGAUAAUUUGAUAUGUGGGUGGACCGGUGCUUGGGUACUGCCCUUUCUUGGACAAGCAUUGAAGGAAAUAUGCCCUAGAGGCAAUAAUAAAGUUAUUAUUUAUUUCCUUAUUUCAUGAUAAAUGUUUAUUAUUCAUGCUAGAAUUAUAUUAACCGGAAACAUAAUACAUGUGUGAAUACAUAGACAAACAUAGUGUCACUAGUAUGCCUCUACUUGACUAGCUCAUUAAUCAAAGAUGGUUAUGUUUCCUAACCAUAGACAUGUGUUGUCAGUUGAUUCAUGGGAUCACAUCAUUAGGAGAAUGAUGUGAUUGACAUGACCCAUUCCGUUAGCCUAGCACUUGAUCGUUUAGUAUGUUGCUAUUGCUUUCUUCAUGACUUAUACAUGUUCCUAUAACUAUGAGAUUAUGCAACUCCCGUUUACCAGAGGAACACUUUGGGUGCUACCAAACGUCACAAUGUAACUGGGUGAUUAUAAAGGAGUACUACAGGUGUCUCCAAAGGUACAUGUUGGGUUGGCGUAUUUCGAGAUUAGGUUUUGUCACUCCGAAUGUCGGAGAGGUAUCUCUGGGCCCUCUCGGUAAUGCACAUCACUAUAAGCCUUGCAAGCAAUGUAGCUAAUGAGUUAGUUACGGAAUGAUGCAUUAUGUAAUGAGUAAAGAGACUUGCCGGUAACGAGAUUGAACUAGGUAUUGGAUACCGACGAUCGAAUCUCGGGCAAGUAACAUACCGAUGACAAAGGGAACAAAGUAUGUUGUUAUGCAGUUUGACUGAUAAAGAUCUUCGUAGAAUAUGUAGGAGCCAAUAUGAGCAUCCAGGUUCCGCUAUUGGUUAUUGACUGAGAAUAGUUCUAGGUCAUGUCUACAUAGUUCUCGAACCCGUAGGGUCCGCACGCUUAAGGUUUCGAUGACAGUUAUAUUAUGAGUUUAUGAGUUUUGAUGUACCUAAGGAGUUCGGAGUCCCGGAUGAGAUCGGGGACAUGACGAGGAGUCUCGAAAUGGUCGAGACGUAAAGAUCGAUAUAUUGGACGACUAUAUUCGGAGUUCGGAAAGGUUCCGAGUAAUUCGGGUAUUUUACGGAGUACCGGAGAGUUGCGGGAAUUCGCCGGGAGAAGUAUUGGGCCUUAUUGGGCCAUACGGGAAAGAGAGAGGGGCUGCCUAGGGCAGGCUGCGCGCCCCCCAAGGCCUAGUCCGAAUUGGACUAGGGGGGAGGGGCCGCACCCCCUCCUUCCUUCCCUUUAUCUCUUCCCUUUCCUUCUCUCCUACUCCUACUACAUGGAAGGGCUCCUAGUUCUACUAGUAAAGGGGGAAUCCUACUCCCGGUGGGAGUAGGACUCCCCUAGGGCGCGCCAUAGAGAGGGCCGGCCCUCCCCCUCCUCCACUCCUUUAUAUACGGGGGCAGGGGGCACCCCAUAGACACACAAGUUGAUCUUCGUGAUCGUUCCUUAGCCGUGUGCGGUGCCCCCCUCCACCAUAUACCACCUCGGUCAUAUCGUUGCGGUGCUUAGGCGAAGCCCUGCGUCGGUAGAACAUCAUCAUCAUCACCACGCCGUCGUGCUGACGAAACUCAUCCCCGACACUUUGCUAGAUCGGAGUCCGGGGAUCGUCAUCGAGCUGAACGUGUGCUGAACUCGGAGGUGCCGUACGUUCGGUGCUUGGAUCGGUCGGAUCGUGAAGACGUACGACUACAUCAACCGCGUUGUCAUGACGCUUCCGCUUACAGUCUACGAGGGUACGUGAACAAUACUCUCCCCUUUCGUUGCUAUGCCAUCACCAUGAUCUUGCGUGUGCGUAGGAAUUUUUUUGAAAUUUCUACGUUCCCCAACAGUGGCAACCGAGCCUAGGUUUUAUGCGUUGAUGUUAUAUGCACGAGUAGAACACAAGUGAGUUGUGGGCGAUACAAGUCAUACUGCUUACCAGCAUGUCAUACUUUGGUUCAGCGGUAUUGUUGAAUGAAGCGGCCCGGACCGACAUUACGCGUACACUUACGCGAGACUGGUUUUACCGCCGUGCUUUGCACACAGGUGACUAGCGGGUGUCUGUUUCUCCAACUUUAGUUGAACCGAGUGUGGCUACGCCCGGUCCUUGCGAAGGUUAAAACAGCACUAACUUGACGAACUAUCGUUGUGGUUUUGAUGCGUAGGUAAGAACGGUUCUUGCUCAGCCCGUAGCAGCCACGUAAAAUUUGCAACAACAAAGUAGAGGACGUCUAACUUGUUUUUGCAGGGCAUGUUGUGAUGUGAUAUGGUCAAGAUGUGAUGCUAUAUUUUAUUGUAUGAGAUGAUCAUGUUUUGUAACCGAAGUUAUCGGCAACUGGCAGGAGCCAUAUGGUUGUCGCUUUAUUGUAUGAAAUGCAAACGCCCUGUAAUUGCUUUACUUUAUCACUAAGCGGUAGCGAUAGUCGUAGAAGCAAUAGAUGGCGCAACGAUAACGAUGCUACGAUGGAGAUCAAGGUGUCGCGCCGGUGACGAUGGUGAUCACGACGGUGCUUCGGGGAUGGAGAUCACAAGCACAAGAUGAUGUUGGCCAUAUCAUAUCACUUAUAUUGAUUGCAUGUGAUGUUUAUCCUUUAUGCAUCUUAUCUUGCUUUGAUUGACGAUAGCAUUUUAAGAUGAUCUCUCACUAAAAUUAUCAAGAAGUGUUCUCCCUGAGUAUGCACCGUUGCGAAAGUUCUUCAUGCUGAGACACCACGUGAUGAUCGGGUGUGAUAGGCUCUACGGUCAAAUACAACGGGUGCAAAACAGUUGCACACACGGAAUACUCAGGUUAAACUUGACGAGCCUAGCAUAUACAGAUAUGGCCUCGGAACACGGAGACCGAAAGGUCGAACGUGAAUCAUAUAGUAGAUAUGAUCAACAUAGUGAUGUUCACCAUUGAAACUACUCCAUCUCACGUGAUGAUUGGACAUGGUUUAGUUGAUUUGGAUCACGUGAUCACUUAGAUGACUAGAGAGAUGUCUGUCCAAGUGGGUGUUCUUAAGUAAUAUGAUUAAUUGAACUUAGAUUUAUCAUGAACUUAGUCCUGGUAGUAUUUUGCAAAUUAUGUUGUAGAUCAAUAGCUUGCGUUGUUGCUUUCAUAUGUUUAUUUUGAUAUGUUCCUAGAGAAAAUUGUGUCGAAAAAUGUUAGUAGCAAUGAUGCGGAUUGGAUCCGUGAUCUGAGGUUUAUCCUCAUUGCUGCGCAGAAGAAUUCUGUCCUUGAUGCACCGCUAGGUGACAAACCUAUUGCAGGAGCAGAUGCAGACGUUAUGAACGUUUGGCUAGCUCAAUAUGAUGACUACUUGAUAGUUUAGUGCACCAUGCUUAACGGCUUAGAAUCGGGACUUCAAAGACGUUUUGAACGUCACGGACCAUAUGAGAUGUUCCAGGAAUUGAAGUUCAUAUUUCAAGCAAAUACCCGAGUUGAGAGAUAUGAAGUCUCAAACAAGUUCUAUAGCUAAAGGAUGGAGGAGAAUCGCUCAACUAGUGAACAAGUGCUCAGAUUGUCUGGGUACUACAAUCGCUUGAAUCAAGUGGGGGUUAAUCUUCCAGAUAAGAUAGUGAUUGACAGAGUUCUCUAGUCACCAUCACCAAGUUAGUAGAACUUCGUGAUGAACUAUAGUAUGCAAAGGAUGACGAAAAUGAUUCCCGAGCUCUUCGUGAUGUUGAAAUCGACGAAGGUAGAAAUCAAGAAAGAGCAUCAAGUGUUGAUGAUUGACAAGAUCACUAGUUUCAAGAAAAGGGCAAAGGGAAAGAAAGGGAAACUUCAAGUAGAAUGGCAAACAAGUUGUCACUCCCAUGAAGAAGCCCAAAGCUGGACCUAAGCCUGAAACUGAGUGUUUCUACUGCAAAGGAAAUGGUCACUGGAAGUGGAACUACUCCAAAUAUUUGGUGGAUAAGAAGGAUGGCAAAGUGAACAAGGGUAUAUUUUGAUGUACAGGUUAUUGAUGUGUACCUUACUAGUGUUUAUAGUAGCCCCUGAGUAUUUGAUACUUGUUCGGUUGCUCAAAAUUUAGUAACUCAAACAGGAGUUACAGAAUAAACAGAGACUAGUUGAAGGGGAAGUGACGAUGAGUGUUGGAAGUAGUUCCAAGAUUGAUAUGAUCAUCAUCGCACACUCCCUAUACUUUUCGGGAUUAGUGUGAAACCUAAAUAAAUGUUAUUUGGCGUUUGCGUUGAGCAUGAAUAUGAUUUGAUCAUGUUUAUUGCGAUACGUUUAUUCAUAUAAAAUCAGAGAAUAAUUGUUGUUCUGUUUACAUGAAUAAAACCUUCAAAUGGUCAUACAGCCAAUGAAAAUAGUUUGUUGGAUCUCGAUCGUAGUGAUACACAUAUUCAUAAUAUUGAUGCCAAAAGAUGCAAAGUUAAUAAUGAUAGUGCAACUUAUUUGUGGCACUGCCGUUUGGGUCAUAUCGGUGUAAAGCGCAUGAAGAAACUCCAUAAAGAUGGAUUUUCGGAAUCACUUGGUUAUGAAUCAUUUGAUGCUUGCGAACCGUGCCUUUUGUUGCAAGAUGACUAAAACUCCGUUCUCCGGAACAAUGGAACAAGCUACUGACUUAUUGGAAAUAAUACAUACCGAUGUAUGCGAUCCAAUGAGUGUUGAUGCUUGUGGCAAGUAUCGUUAUUUUCUGACCUUCACAAGAUGAUUUGAGCAGAUAUGGGUAUAUCUACUUGAUGAAACAUAAGUCUGAAAUAGUUGAAAGGUUCAAAUGAUUUCAGAGUGAAGUGGAAAAAUUAUCGUAACAAGAAAAUAAAACUUCUGCGAUCUGAUCGUAGAGACGAAUAUUUGAGUUACGAGUUUGGUCUUCAAUUAAAACUAUGUGGAAUAGUUUCACAGCUCACGCCACCUGGAACACCACAACGUUAUGGUGUGUCCGAACGUCAUAACCGCACUUUAUUGGAUAUGGUGCGAUCUAUGAUGUCUCUUGCUGAUUUACCACUAUUGUUUUGGGGUUAUGCAUUAGAGACAGCUGCAUUCACGUUAAAAGGGCACCAUCUAAAUCCGUUGAGACGACACCAUAUGAAUUAUGGUUUAGCAAGAAACCCAAGUUGUCGUUUCUUAAAGUUUGGGGCUGCGAUGCUUAUGUGAAAAAGUUUCAUCCUAAUAAGCUCAAACCCAAAUCGGAGAAGUGCGUCUUCAUAGAAUACCCAAAGGAAAUUGUUGGGUACACCUUCUAUCACAGAUCCGAAGGCAAGAUAUUCGUUGCUAAAAAUGGAUCCUUUCUAGAGAAGGAGUUUCUCUUGAAAGAAGUGAGUGGGAGGAAAGUAGAACUUGAUGAGGUAACUGUACCUUCUCCCAAAUUGGAAAAUAGUUCAUCACUGAAAUCAGUUCCAGUGAUUCCUACACCAAUUAGUGAGGAAGCUAAUGAUGAUGAUCAUGAAACUUCAGAUCAAGUUACUACAGAACCUCAUAGGUCCUCGAGAGUACGGUCCGCACCAGAGUAGUACGGUAAUCCUGUUCUGGAAGUCAUGUUACUAGACCAUGAUAAACCUACGAACUAUGAGGAAGCGAUGAUGAGCCCAGAUUCCGCAAAAUGGCUUGAGGCCAUGAAAUCUGAGAUAGGAUCCAUGUAUGAGAACAAAGUGUGGACUAUGGUGGACUUGCCCGAUGAUCGGCAAACCAUAGAAAAUAAAUGGAUCUUCAAGAGGAAGAUGGACAUUGAUUGUAGUGUUACUAUCUACAAAGCUCGACUUGUCGCAAAAAGGUUUUUGACAAGUUCAAGGUGUUGACUACAAUGAGAUUUUCUCAACUGUAGCGAUGCUUAAGUCUGUCCGAAUCAUGUUAGCAAUUGCCACAUUUUAUGAAAUUUGGCAAAUGAAUGUCAAAACUACAUUCCUUAAUGGAUUUAUUAAAGAAGAGUUGUAUAUGAUACAACCAGAAGGUUUUGUCAAUCCUAAAGGUGCUAACAAAGUGUGCGUGCUCCAGUGAUCCAUCUAUGGACUGGUGCAAGCAUCUCGGAGUUGGAAUAUACGCUUUGAUGAGUUGAUCAAAGCAUAUGGUUUUAUACAGACUUUUGGAGAAGCCUGUAUUUACAAGAAAGUGAGUGGGAGCUCUAUGGCAUUUCUAAAUACUAUAUGUGGAUGACAUAUUGUUGUUUGGAAAUGAUAUAGAAUUUCUGGAUAGCAUAAAAGGAUACUUGAAUAAGAGUUUUUAAAAAGAAAGACCUCAGUAAAGCUACUUACAUAUUGAGCAUCAAGAUCUAUUGAAAUAGAUCAAGACGCUUGAUAAGAUUUUUCAAUGAGUACAUACCUUGAUAAGAUUUUGAAGUGGUUCAAAAUGGAACAGUCAAAGAAGGAGUUCUUGCCUGUGUUCCAAGGUGUGAAGUUGAGUAAGACUCAAAUCCUGACCACGACAGAAAAUAGAAAGAGGAUGAAAGUCAUUCCCUAUGCAUCAGUCAUAGGUUCUAUAAAAGUAUGCCAUGUUAUGGUCCAGACCUAUUGUAUACUCUGCCCUGGUUUGGCAAGGGAGUACAAUAAUGAUCUAGUAGUAGAUCACUGGACAUUGGUCAAAAUUAUCCUUAGUGGAAUAAGGAAAUAUUUCUCGAUUAUGGAGGUGAUAAAAGAUCCCGUCGUAAAGACUUACAUCGGUGCAAGCUUUUACACCGAUCCAGAUGACUCUAAGUCUCAAUCUAGAUACAUAUUGAAAGUGGGAGCAAUUGGCUAGAGUAGCUUCGUGCAGAGCAUUAUAGACAUAGAAUAUUUGAAAAAUACAUACGACUCUGAAUGUGAUAGACCCGUUGACUAAGCUUCUCUCACAAGCAAAACAUGAUCACACCUUAGUACUCUUUGCGUGUUAAUCACAUAAGCGACGUGAACUAGAUUAUUGACUCUAGUAAACCCUUUGGGAGUUGGUCACAUCACGAUGUGAACUAUGGGUGUUAAUCAUAUACAUAUAUGAAUAUUGGUGUUAAAUCACAUGGCAAUGUGAACUAGAUUAUUGACUCUAGUGCAAGUGGGAGACUGAAGGAAAUAUGCUCUAGAGGCAAUAAUAAAGUUAUUAUUUAUUUCCUUAUUUCAUGAUAAAUGUUUAUUAUUCAUGCUAGAAUUAUAUUAACCGGAAACAUAAUACAUGUGUGAAUACAUAGACAAACAUAGUGUCACUAGUAUGCCUCUACUUGACUAGCUCAUUAAUCAAAGAUGGUUAUGUUUCCUAACCAUAGACAUGUGUUGUCAGUUGAUUAAUGGGAUCACAUCAUUAGGAGAAUGAUGUGAUUGACAUGACCCAUUCCGUUAGCCUAGCACUUGAUCGUUUAGUAUGUUGCUAUUGCUUUCUUCAUGACUUAUACAUGUUCCUGUAACUAUGAGAUUAUGCAACUCCCGUUUACCAGAGGAACACUUUGGGUGCUACCAAACGUCACAACGUAAUUGGGUGAUUAUAAAGGAGUACUACAGGUGUCUCCAAAGGUACAUGUUGGGUUGGCGUAUUUCAAGAUUAGGUUUUGUCACUCCGAUUGUCGGAGAGGUAUCUCUGGGCCCUCUUGGUAAUGCACAUCACUAUAAGCCUUGCAAGCAAUGUAGCUAAUGAGUUAGUUACGGAAUGAUGCAUUACGUAACGAGUAAAGAGACUUGCCGGUAACGAGAUUGAACUAGGUAUUGGAUACCGACGAUCGAAUCUCGGGCAAGUAACAUACCGAUGACAAAGGGAACAAAGUAUGUUGUUAUGCGGUUUGACCGAUAAAGAUCUUCGUAGAAUAUGUAGGAGCCAAUAUGAGCAUCCAGGUUCCGCUAUUGGUUAUUGACCGAGAAUAGUUCUAGGUCAUGUCUACAUAGUUCUCGAACCCGUAGGGUCCGCACGCUUAAGGUUUCGAUGACAGUUAUAUUAUGAGUUUAUGAGUUUUGAUGUACCGAAGGAGUUCGGAGUCUCGGAUGAGAUCGGGGACAUGACGAGGAGUCUCUAAAUGGUCGAGACAUAAAGAUCGAUAUAUUGGACGACUAUAUUCGGAGUUCGGAAAGGUUCCGAGUAAUUCGGGUAUUUUUCGGAGUACCAGAGAGUUACGGGAAUUCGCCGGGAGAAGUAUUGGGCCUUAUUGGGCCAUACGGGAAAGAGAGAGGGGCUGCCUAGGGCAGGCUGUGCGCCCCCCAAGGCCUAGUCCAAAUUGGACUAGGGGGAGGGGCCGCACCCCCUCCUUCCUUCCCUUCUCUCUUCCCUUUCCUUCUCUCCUACUCGUACUACAUGGAAGGGCUCCUAGUUCUACUAGGAAAGGGGCGGGAGUAGGACUCCCCUAGGGCGCGCCAUAGAGAUGGCCGGCCCUCCCCGUCCUCCACUCCUUUAUAUACGGGGGCAGGGGGCACCCCAUAGACACACAAGUUGAUCUUCGUGAUCGUUCCUUAGCCGUGUGCGGUGCCCCCCUCCACCAUAUACCACCUCGGUCAUAUCGUUGCGGUGCUUAGGCUAAGCCCUGCGUCGGUAGAACAUCAUCAUCGUCACCACGCCGUCGUGCUGACGGAACUCAUCCCCGACACUUUGCUGGAUCGGAGUCCGGGGAUCGUCAUCGAGCUGAACGUGUGCUGAACUCGGAGGUGCCGUACGUUCGGUGCUUGGAUCGGUCGGAUCGUGAAGACGUACGACUACAUCAACCGCGUUGUCAUAACGCUUCCGCUUACGAUCUACGAGGGUACGUGAACAACACUCUCCCCUCUCGUUGUUAUGCCAUCACCAUGAUCUUGCGUGUGCGUAGGAAAUUUUUUGAAAUUACUACGUUCCCCAACAAGCAUCCCACUUAUGAUUAACCUCUAUUGCAAGCAUCCGCAACUACAAAAGAAGUAUUAAGGUAAACCUAACUAUAGCAUGAAACUAGUGGAUCCAAAUCAGCCCCUUAUGAAGCAACGCAUAAACUAGGGUUUAAGCUUCUGUCACUCUAGCAACACAUCAUCUACUUAUUACUUCCCAAUGCCUUCCUCUAGGACCAAAUAAUGGUGAAGUGUCAUGUAGUCGACGUUCACAUAACACCACUAGAGGAGAGACAACAUACAUCUCAUCAAAAUAUCGAACGAAUACCGAAUUCACAUGACUACUAAUAGCAAGACUUCACCCAUGUCCUCUGGAACAAACGUAACUACUCACAAAGCAUAUUCAUGUUCAUGAUCAGAGGAGUAUUAAUAUGCAUUAAGGAUCUGAACAUAUGAUCUUCCACCAAGUAAAGCAAUUAGCAUCAACUACACGGAGUAAUCAACACUACUAGCAAUCCACAGGUACUAAUUUGUUGUUUUGAUACAAGAUUGGAUACAAGAGAUGAACUAGGGUUUUGAGAGGAGAUGGUGCUGGUGAAGAUGUUGAUGGAGAUUGACCCCCUCCAGAUGAGGGGAUCAUUGGUGAUGACGAUGGUGAUGAUUUCCCCCUCCCGGAGGGAAGUUUCCUCGGCAGAACAGCUCCGCCGGAGCCCUAGAUUGGUUCCGCCAAGGUUCCGCCUCGUGGCGGCGGAGUUUCGUCCCGUAAGCUUGCUUAUGAUUUUUUUAGGGUAAGAGGCUUCAUAUAGCAGAAGAUGGGCACCGGAUGGCCAACAAGGGGCCCAGGAGACAGGGGGCGCGCCCAGUAGGGGGGCGCACCCCCCACCCUCCUGGCCAGGGUGUGGGCCCCCUCUGGUAUUUUCUUCGCUCAGAAAUUCUUAUUAAUUCCAAAAAUGACUUCCGUGGAAUUUCAGGAUUUUUGGAGCUGUGUAGAAUAGUUUCCAAUAUUUGCUCCUUUUCUAGCCAGAAUUCCAGCUGCCGAUGAUAAACCUUGUAAAAUAGGAGAGAAUAGCCAUAAGUAUUGUGACAUAAUGUGUAAUAACAGCCCAUAAUGCAAUAAAUAUUGAUAUAAAAGCAUGAUGCAAGAUAGACGUAUCAGCAACCAUAAGGUUUUGUCGAUCCAAAGGGUGCUAACAAAGUGUGCAAGCUCCAGCAAUCCAUUUAUGGACUGGUGCAAGCCUCUCGGAGUUGGAAUAAACGCUUUGAUAGUGUGAUCAAAACAUAUGGUUUUAUACAAACUUUUGGAGAAGCAUGUAUUUAGAAGAAAGUGAGUGGGAACUCUGUAGCAUUUCUAAUAUUAUAUGUAGAUGACAUAUUGUUGAUUGGAAAUGAUAUAGAAUUUCUGGAUAACAUAAAGGGAUACUUGAAUAAGAGUUUUUCGAUGAAAGACCUCAGUGAAGCUACUUACAUCUUGGGCAUCAAGAUAUAUAGAGAUAGAUCAAGACGCUUGAUAAGAUUUUUCAAUGAGUAUAUGCCUUGACAAGUUUUUUGAAAGAGAUCAAAAUGGAUCAGUCAAAGAAGGAGUUCUUGUCAAUUAUUACAUGGUGUAAAAUUGAGUAAGACUCAAAGCCCGACCACGGUAGAAGAUAGAAAGAGAAUGAAAGUCAUUCCCUAUGCCUCAGUCAUAGGUUCUAUAAAGUAUGCUAUGUUGUGUACCCGACCUAUUGUGUACCUUGCCAUGAGUUUAGCAAGGGCGAACAAUAGUGACCUACAAGUAGAUCACUGGACAGCGGUCAAAAUUAUCCUUAGUGAGGACUAAGGAAAUGUUUCUUGGUUAUGAGGGUGAUAAAGAGUUCGUCGUAAAGAGUUACGUUGAUGCAAGCUUUUACACGAUCCAUAUGACUCUAAGUCUCAAUCUGGAUACAUAUUGAAAGUGGGAGCAAUUAUCUAGAGUAGCUCCAUGUAGAGCAUUGUAGACAUAGAAUAUUUGCAAAAUACAUACGGCUCUGAAUGUGACAGACCCGUUGACUAAACUUAUCUCAUGAGCAAAACAUGAUCACACCUUAGUACUCUUUGGGUGUUAAUCACACAGCAAUGUGAACUAGAUUAUUGACUUUAGUAAACCCUUUGGGUUUUGGUCACAUGGUGAUGUGAACUAUGGGUGUUAAUCACAUAAAGAUGUGAACUAUUGGUGUUAAAUCACAUGGCGAUGUGAACUAGAUUAUUGACUCUAGUGCAAGUGGGAGACUGAAGGAAGGCAAUAAUAAAGUUAUUAUUUAUUUUCUUAUAUCAUGAUAAAUGUUUGUUAUUCAUACUAGAAUUGUAUUAACCGGAAACUUAGUACAUGUGUGAAUACAUAGACAAAACAUAGUGUCCCUAGUAUGCCUCUACUAGACUAGCUUGUUAAUCAAAGAUGGUUAUGUUUUCUAACCAUAGACAUGUGUUGUCAUUUGAUGAACGGGAUAACAUCAUUAGGAGAAUGAUGUGAUGGACAUGACCCAUCCGUUAGCAUAGCAUUAUGAUCAUUACAAUUUCAUUGCUACUGCUUUCUUCAUGACUUAUACAUGUUCCUCAGACUAUGAGAUUAUGCAACUCCUGAAUACCGGAGGAACACCUUGUGUGUUAUCAAACAUCACAACAUAAAUGGGUGAUUAUAAAGAUGCUCUACAGGUGUCUCCGAAGGUGUUUGUUGGGUUGGCAUAGAUCGAGAUUAGGAUUUGUCACUCCGUGUUUCGGAGAGGUAUCUCUAGGCCCUCUCGGUCAUACUCAUCACUAUAACCCUUGCAAGCAAUGUGACUAAUGAGUUAGUUGUGGGAUGAAGUAUUACAAAAAGAGUAAAGAGACUUGCCAGUAAUGAGAUUGAACUAGGUAUGAUGAUAUCGAUGAUCGAAUCUCGGGCAAGUAACAUACCGAUGACAAAGGGAACAACAUAUGUUGUUUUGCUAUUUGACCGAUAAAGAUCUUCAUAGAAUAUGUAGGAGCCAAUAUGAGCAUCCAAGUUCCGCCAUUGGUUAUUGACCGGAGAUGUGUCUCAGUCAUGUCUACAUAGUACUCGAACCCGUAGGGUCCGCACGCUUAACGUUCGAUGACGAUAUGUAUUAUGAGUUAUGUGUUUUUGAUGAUCGAAGUUUGUUCGGAGUCCCGGAUGAGAUCACGGACAUGACAAGGAGUCUCAAAAUGGUUGAGACAUGAAGAUUGAUAUAUUUGACCAUGUUAUUUGGACACCAGAGGAGUUCCGGAAAGUUUUGGAUAAAACCGGAGUGCCGGAGGGGUUAUUGGAACCCCCCCUCCCCCCCCCCCCAGGGGGGUGAGGGGGGAACUAAUGGGCCACCAUGGGCCUUAGUGGAGGGACAGGAGGGCGGCCAGGGCAAGCCCCCCCCCUUGGAGUCAGAAUAGGACAAGGGAAGGGGGGGCGUCCCCUUUCCUACUCCCUCUCCCUCUCCUUCCUUUCCCAUCUCUCCCUUGUGGUGGAAUCCUACUAGGACUAGUAGUCCUAGUAGGACUCCUCUCUUGGGCACGCCCCUAGGGGCCGUCCAGUCUCCCCCUUGCUCCUUUAUAUACGGGGGCAAGGGGCACCCUAAGACAAACAAGUUUCUCUCCCAACCAUCUGCGGUGCCCACCUCCAUAGUUACACACCUCGAUCAUACCAUCAUAGUGCUUAGGCAAAGCCCUGCGCCGGUAGCAUCAUCAUCACCGUCGCCAUGCCGUCGUGCUAACGGAACUCACCCUCAUCCUCAACUGGAUCAAGAGAACGAGGGACGUCAUCGAACUGAACGUGUGCUGAAUGCGGAGGUGUCGUACGUUCGGUACUUAAUCGGUUGGAUCAUGAAGAAGUUCGACUACAUCAACUGUGUUAUUGAAACGCUUCCGCUUUCGGUCUACGAGGGUACGUGGACACACUCUCACCUCUCCUUGCUAUGCAUCACCUAGAUAGAUCUUAUGUGAUCGUAGGAAAAAAUUUGAAAUUACUGCGUUCCCCAACACCUCCCUCCUAAGUUCCAUCUACAUCAACCAAGCAUCGUCGUCCACAUUGUUGGAGAAGGGGGACGACAUGAUGCAUGGCCUUGAAAACUCUAGCAGAAAACAGCUCAAAAUGAAAACAGGGGAUAUUGCUGGGAUACGGAGGUGAAAACCUUCGGGAGAUUAUAUAAUGAUUUUUUAUCGACCAAAAGGAGUGUACUACAAGAAAACAGAGUCUGGAGGGCACACGAGGUGGACACAAGCUAGGGAGGCGCGCCCAGGGGGGUAGGGCGCGCCCCCAUGGCUUGUCGCCUCCUCAUGUACUUUUCAGACUACUUUUAAUUUUCCUAAUUUUUUUAAAUAUUCCAAAAUGGAGUAAAAUUGCCAUUGAAAAUGUUUUGGAGUCAGUUUACUUACCGUACCACAUACCUAUUCCUUUUCAGAGUCUGAAACGUUCUGGUAGAUCUCCCUUAUGUACUCCUCUGGUGUUAUGGCAUUAAUAAUAUUGGUUCAACAUUUAUGGGAGUACCUAAGAUAUAAUGUUUGAUUCUUUGCCCGUUUACCACCUUCCGGUUUGUGCCUUCGGCAUUGUUGAUCUUGAUGGCACCGGAACGAUAAACCUCCUCAAUAAUGUAAGGACCUUCCCAUUUAGAGAGAAGUUUUCCUGAAAAAACUUAAAACGAGAUUUGUAUAGCAAGACAUGGUCACCUACAUUGAAUUUGCGCUUUUUUAUCCUUUUGUCAUGCCAUGUUUUAACUUUUUCUUUAAACAACUUGGCAUUUUCAUAAGCUUGGGUUCUCCAUUCAUCCAGUGAGCUAAUGUCAAAUAACCUCUUUUCACCGGCCAGUUUGAAAUCAUAGUUGAGCUCUUUAAUUUCCCAAUAAGCUUUAUGCUCUAGUUCUAUAGGUAAGUGACAUGCUUUUCCAUAAACCAUUUUACACGAAGACAUGUCCAUAGGGUUUUUAUAAGCAGUUCUAUAAGCCCAUAAUGCAUAUCAAGUUUGUUAGACCAAUUCUUUCUAGAUCUAUUGAUGGUCUUUUGCAGGAUCAAUUUAAUUUCUCUAUUACUCAAUUCUAGUUGACCACUAGACUGAGGACGAUAAGGAGAUGCAAUUCUAUGGUUGACAUCUUAGCAAGCAAUUUAUGAAAAGGACCAUGAAUAAAGUGUGAAGCACCAUCGGUCAUUAAAUAUCUAGGGACUCCUAACCUCGGGAAAAUAACUUCUUUAAGCAUUUUAAUAAAAGUGUUAUGAUCAACACUACUAGUCGGAAUAGCUUCUACCCACAUAGUAACGUAAUCACCAGCAACUAAAAUAUGUGUAAACCCAUUAGAGGAAGGAAAAGGUUCCAUAUAAUCAAAGCCCCAAACGUUGAAUGGUUUAAUAACAAGUGAAUAAUUCAUAGGCAUUUCCUAAUGUGUACUAAUAUUACCGAUUCUUUGGCAUUCAUUAGAAGACAAUACAUACAUACAAGCAUAUUUGAAGAGAGUAGGCCAAUAAAAACCAGAUUGUAAUACCUUGUUUGCAGUUCUAUCUCCAGCAUGGUGUCCUCCAUAGGCCUCGGAGUGACACUUGCUUAGAAUAUGUUCAUGUUCAUGCUCAGUUACACAACGUCUAAUAACACAAUCUACUCCUUUAUAAAGGUGUGAGUCAUCCCAAAAGUAAUGUCUUCAAUCAUAGAAAAACUUUUUCUUUUGCUGGUAUGUGAAACUAGGUGGUAUAAGUUUAGCAACAAUGUAAUUAGCAUAAUCAGCAUACCAUGGAGCACAAUGAGAAGCAUUUAUGACAGCUAGUUGUUCAUCAGGAAAGCUAUCUUCAAUAGGUAGUGGGUCCUCAAGAAUAUUUUCUAACCUAGACAAGUUGUCUGCUACGAGGUUAGAACCCAUCUUAUAGGUCUAGGUUUAGCAUCUUUAUUUUCCAUAAGGUAUUUAAUAGCAGCAUGAUCAGUGUGAACAAUUACUUUGGAAUCAACAAUAUAAGAUCUGAACUCAUCACAAGCAAAUACAACUGCUAGAAAUUAUUUUUAGUAGUAGCAUAAUUAGUUUGAGCAUUGUCUAGAGUUUUACUAGCAUAAUGAAUAACAUUCAAUUUCUUAUCAACUCUUUGUCCUAGAACAGCACCAGCAGCAUAAUCAUUAGCAUCACACAUAAUUUCAAAGGGUAGAUUCCAAUCAGGUGGUUGAACAAUAAGUGCAGAAAUCAAGGCUUUCUUAAGUAUUUCAAAUGCUUCUACACAAUCAUCAUCAAAGUUUUAAUUUGGGUUUUCCCGCAACUAAAGAAAAAGAAAAUGGAAGAAUUCUUCUUAUUGCAUAAUAAAAUAAAAUAAAGAAAACUUAGAAUUCCGUUUGCAUAAGAUACGCUACACCAUACUAUCAAAAUCAAAAAUAGGGUAUAAGACAAUUAAUAAAAUAACUUUGAACAAAUGGGACAUCUUUUUUCAAGAGAUUUGUGAGAGGCCUAGAAAUUUUAGAGAAGUCUUUAAUAAAUCUCCUAUAGAAACCAGCAUGACAAAGGAAACUUCUUGUACCUUUGAUAUUUUUAGUACACGGCAUUUUUUCAAUAGCAUCAACUUUAGCUUUAUCCACUUCAAUACCUCUUUCGGAGAUUUUAUGCCCCAAGACAAUGCCUUCAUUGACCAUAAAGUGGCACUUCUCCUAAUUCAAGACAAUAUUAGUUUCUUCACAUCUCUGCAAAACUCAAUCAAGGUUGCUUAGGCAAUCAUCAAAAGAAGUUCCGUAAACAGAGAAAUCAUCCAUGAAAACCUCAACAAUCUUUUCACAAAAGUCAAAAAAUAUAGCAGUCAUACAUCUUUGAAAGGUAGUAGGUGCAUUGCAUAAACCAAAAGGCAUAGGUCUAUAAGCAAAGGUACCAAAAGGGCGAGUAAAGGUAGUUUUUUCUUGAUCCUCUUGUGACACAGGUAUUUGAGAAAAACUAGAAUAACCAUCUAGAAAGCAAAAGUGUGUAUGUUUUGAUAGUAUUUCUAGCAUUUGAUCAAUAAAAGGUAGAGGGUAAUGACCUUUCCUAGUAGCUUUGUUUAAUUUUCUAAAAUCAGUUACCAUUCUAUAACCUGUAACAAUUCUUUGUGGAAUAAAUUCAUUUUUAUCAUUAGGAACAGCAGUAAUACCUCCCUUCUUAGGGACACAAUGAACAGGACUUACCCAUCUACUAUCAACAAUAGGAUAAAUUAUACCUGCUUCCAGGAGCUUUAAUAUUUCAUUUCUUACUACUUCCUUCAUCUUAGGAUUUAACCGUCGUUGAUGAUUAACAACUGGUUUAGCAUCAGGCUCCAUAUUAAUUUUGUGCUGACAUAGAGUGGGACUAAUGCCCUUAAGAUCAUCAAGAGUAUAUCCAAUAGCGGCACAGUGCUUCUUCAGAAUUUUCAAUAAUUUAUUUUCUUCAUGCUCUGAAAGGUUAGCACUAAUAAUAAUGGGAUAUAUCUCAUUUUCAUCAAGAUAAGCAUAUUUCCGUGUAUCAGGUAAUUGUUUAAGAUCAAACACAGGAUCACUCUUAGGUGGUAGAGGAUCUCCAAGAGUUUCAACAGGCAAAUUGUGUUUCAACACAGGCAUAUGUUUAAAGAAAAUCUCAUCUAAUUCCUUUAAUUCAUUCAUAAACAUAUUAUUUUCAUGGUCUAGCAAAUAUUGUUCUAAAGGAUCAGUAGGAGGCACAGCAAUAGAACCAAGACCAAUAAUUUCAUCUUUACUGGGCAAUUCUUUAUCAUGGGGUUGUCUAUGAAAUUUGGAGAAAUUAAACUCGUGAGACACAUCCCCAAAACUUACACUAACAGUUUCUUUCUCGCAACCUAUCUUAGCAUUAACAGUGUUCAAGAAAGGUCUACCAAAUAUAAUGGGACAAAAAUCAUCUUGUGGGCAACCAAGAAUAAUAAAAUCAGUAGGAUAUUUUAUUUUCUCACACGAGACUUCAACAUCUCUAACAAUCUCAAUUGGUGAUAUAGUAUCUCUAUUAGCAAGCUUAGUAGUAACAUCAAUAUAUUCUAUUUUAUCUAGUUCAUUAUCAUUCAUAAUUUCUUGAUAUAAGGUAAAGGGUAUUGCACUCACACUAGCACCCAAAUCACAUAAGCCAUGAUAACAAUGAUCUCCUAUUUUAACAAAAACAACAGGCAUGCCAACAAUAGGUCGGGUUUGGCAAUUCUAGCAGCUUCAUCACAGAAAUAAAUAACAUGCCCAUCAAUAUUAUCGACCAAGAUAUCUUUAACCAUAGCAACACUAGGUUCAACUUUGAUUUGUUCAUGAGGUGUAGGUGUUCUAGUAUAACUCUUAUGAACCAUAGUUGAAGCUUUAGCAUGUUCUUUUAUCGUAACAUGAAAAGGUGGUUUUUCAAUGUAAGCAGUAGGAAGAAUAGGAUCAGGAUUAUAAGUAAUAGUUUCUUCUUCAGCUUUAAUAGGUUCCACUAGUUUACUUCAAUGGGAGGAUGAUAUUUAAACCACUUAUCCGUAGGGAGACCAACAUGAGUAGCAAAUGAUUCACAGAAAGAAACUACUAUUUCAGAGUCAAGUCCAUAUUUAGUGCUAAAUUCAUGAAAAGCAUCGGUAUCCAUAAAAGAUUUCACACAAUCAAACUUAAGGUUUAUACCUGACUCCUUACCUUCGUCGAGUUCCCAAUCUUCAGAGUUCUGUUUAAUUCUUUCCAAUAAAUCUCAUUUGAAUUCAAUAGUCUUCUUCAUAAAAGAACCAGUACAAGAAGUAUAGAGCACGGAUUGAUCAUUACGAGAAAGUCGAGCAUAAAAAUUCUGAAUAAUAAUUUCUCUUAAGAGCUCGUGAUUGGGGCAUGAAUAUAACAUUGAUUUAAGCCUCCCCCAAGCUUGAGUGAUAAUUUAUCCUUCACGAGGCCAAAAAUUAUAAAUAUAAUUCCGAUCAUGAUGAACCAGAUGCAUAGGAUAAAACUUCUGAUGAAAUUCCAAUUUCAAUCGGUUGUAGUUCCAAGUCCCAAUAUCAUCGCAUAGCCUAUACCAUGUCAAUGCCUUCUCCUUCAAAGAUAAAGGGAAGACCUGAUUCUGACUUCAUCCUCAGGCAAACAUGCAAGCUUAAAUAAUCCACAAACUUCAUCCACAUAGAUUAGAUGCAUAUCAGGAUGUAAUGUUCCAUCUCCUGCAUAAGGAUUAGCUAGCAGUUUCUCUAUCAUACCCGAAGGAAUUUCAUAAUAAAUAUUUUCAGUAGGUUUAGUAGGUUGAGGAGAAACUUCUUGCUCUACUGGUCGGGUGAAGAUACCCCGAACAAGCCCCUCAAAGGAUUAUUUUCCAUAGUGACAAGUGAUAGUAAAUUUCAGCAUGUAAUAUAAAUGUUUCCUUACCAAAUUCCACUUACCAAAGGCGCUUCACUCCCCGGCAACGGCGCCAGAAAAGAGUCUUGAUGACCCACAAGUAUAGGGUAUCUAUCAUAGUCCUUUCGAUAAGUAAGAGUGUCGAACCCAACGAGGAGUAGAAGGAAAUGAAGCGGUUUUCAGCAAGGUAUUCUCUGCAAGCACUGAAAUUAUCGGUAACAGAUAGUUGUGUGAUAAGAUAAUUCAUAACGGGUAACAAGUAACAAGUGAAACUAAGGUGCAGCAAGGUAGCCCAAUCCUUUUUGUACCAAAGGACAAGCCUGGACAAACUCUUAUUAUACCGACCAGACCUCAAACAGUCUAGUCUCUAUGCAUUAGUGUCAUCCCUGGAUCGGUAAUGCUGACACGCACAGUACUCGAGGAUUUAUAACAGAGUAGCAAUCACACACUUAUUACAUUGAAUGUCUCAAAAGAGAACUUAGUACAAUAAUAUGGCUUAAGGCCAUCUAAAAAUGAUAACAGCGGAAGGCUUGGAAGAUAAAGUGAGUCCAUCAACUCCAACGGCAUAGCUGAGUGAAAGACAACGACAUAUGGCACCUUACUCGUCGUCUGAAAAGUCUACAACAUGAAACGUUGCAGCCCGAAACGAGUCAGCACAUGGAAUAUGCUGGCAAUAUAACACAUAGAGUAAUGAAUAGAAUAAAUGCUAUCACUACAUGCAUAUAUGGCUGGUGGAAAGCUCUAUGGUUACAGUUUUGCAUAAAGCCAAUUUUCCCCGACAACAAAGGAAUAAAAAGAUUUAACUAUCAUGGUGGUUGUUAAACAUUGAGAAGGUUCCUCCAACUCAAUCCCAAUUAAGCAUCAUUAUUAAACCCAAUAAAAUUAUAUUUAGAGUGAUGAGAUCAACAUGAUAAUCCAAGAACCAGAUACUCAAGAUGUCCAUAAUCGGGGACACGGCUAACCAUGAUUAGUUUGUACACUCUGCAGAGGUUUGCGCACUUUUCCCCACAAGACUCGAAUACAUCCAUGGUCAGAGAUUCGAGACACAGUCUUUCUGAAACAAUAACUCUUUACUCUGGGUGGACAGUUACACCUACUUUCCCCUACAUCUGCUAGCCCACCAUUAAAAGAGGUCAUGCAACAUACUCAACUAUGGUAGAGCCCAUAAUAGCUUGUGGCUGCACAUGCAAGUUUCUAGCAUGAAUAAUCUUAUGAUCCCUUUGAGCCUGGGUGGCGGACCGUAGGAUGAUCACACGCGUACUCCGGGAUAUCCUAGGACAACACUGGAUUCUCCAGGUGCCCUGACAACCACUGGGUACUCCAGGGUGCCUCGAGCAAUCCACCCAGAUGUGUAUUUAAUUAACCACCUUAAGUUAACCAUUAAUUAGCAAUACUCACAUCUAUCAUGGAUACACUCACCCAAACCACGUCUACGAGCAUAGCAUAGCAAUAUAAACUCAGCAUAGAAGUAACUCCCAAAGGUUUGAUAAUAAACAGGGCAAUAGGUUCUACCUCAUCAUCUACUUCCCAAAACCCACAUAUUAAUCAGAUCCUAACCAUGCAAUGUUAGAGGGUUGAUCUAAUGCAACAAAAUUGGGUAGUAAAUAGGUAUGAUCAAAGUGUUACUUGCCUUGCUGAUGAUCCGUGAAACCUAGAGACUCGUAGAAGCACGCUUCGCACUCUGGGUACUCUAUCGCAAACAAACAAUAACAUACAUAAGCACUCAACUAGAAGCAUGGGUAAAACUCAAAUAAAAGAUCUAACCACAAAGUUCAACUUAAGAACUCCGGUUUGCAAAAAGAAUCAAAUCAAAUGAAGCAACGAAACUCAAACUGCGAAAGAAACGAGAUCCGUUUACUAAUCUGGACUAAAGUCAAAGUUACAGUACCAAAAUCUUGUUCAAGUUGUUUAAACAGAAAGAGGGCUUCGAGACAAAGAUCUAGGCGCUUGAAUCGCCUGAUUCCGAUAAAUGAGUGAAAAGAUAAACUAAAACAAAGAUCAGGGCAGAGCAAUCGAAAAUAAUCACGGAAAAACCCUGAAAAAAGAAAAACUGACGAACAAACUAACGAAAGAAUGUUCGUUGUCUGCGGCUAAUGGGUGAACACCGUUCGUUAAAACGAAUGUACGGACGAACGUCCGCUAUUAAACUAAACCGGAAAAACCGAACCGAUCUAAUCUAAAAAAGCGAAUCUAGGUUUUCGAAAUAAAAUCGAAUGGUUUUUAAAAUAAAACCGGCGGCGGAAACUCCGGCGGCGGCGGGCAACUCCGGCGGGCGGCGGCGGGGCGGCGGCGGGGCUGGCGGGUGGCUGCGGCNNNNNNNNNNNNNNNNNNNNNNNNNNNNNNNNNNNNNNNNNNNNNNNNNNNNNNNNNNNNNNNNNNNNNNNNNNNNNNNNNNNNNNNNNNNNNNNNNNNNNNNNNNNNNNNNNNNNNNNNNNNNNNNNNNNNNNNNNNNNNNNNNNNNNNNNNNNNNNNNNNNNNNNNNNNNNNNNNNNNNNNNNNNNNNNNNNNNNNNNNNNNNNNNNNNNNNNNNNNNNNNNNNNNNNNNNNNNNNNNNNNNNNNNNNNNNNNNNNNNNNNNNNNNNNNNNNNNNNNNNNNNNNNNNNNNNNNNNNNNNNNNNNNNNNNNNNNNNNNNNNNNNNNNNNNNNNNNNNNNNNNNNNNNNNNNNNNNNNNNNNNNNNNNNNNNNNNNNNNNNNNNNNNNNNNNNNNNNNNNNNNNNNNNNNNNNNNNNNNNNNNNNNNNNNNNNNNNNNNNNNNNNNNNNNNNNGGCUAGCGGCGGCGGCGGCGCGGCUAGCGGCGGCAGGCUAGGGUUAGGGUUGCGGGGCCGGUGGCUGGGCUGGCGGUGUCCCGGGGUCGGGCCUUAUAAAGGUCGGCCAGAGAAGUCCAGGUCGGGCACGGCCCGACUAAGUCGGUUCCUUUUAAAAAAAAUAUCCUGACACGCAGAAAAACGAUUAAAAGAAAUACUAAACGGACUCCAAAAAUCCUGAAAUAAAUUUUCCCCGUCCUCUAAAAAUAUAGCAGAAAAAGUGAACAUUUAUUUGGGCCUCUAAUGCAAUUUUGAAAACCGCAUUUUUUCCUAAUUCAAAUAAAAUAGCGAUAAAACUCCAAAAAAUGCUUAUUUGAUUUUAAUAUUUUCCCUUCAAUAUUUCUUUAUUUUGGAGAAGUCAUUUUAUCCCAUCUCUUUAAUUUUUAUAUAAGAAAUAUUCAAAGAGAAAUAAUAAUUAAAAGAAAAUGAUCCUCUUUUCAAAAUUUGAGAAAACUCAAAUAUGAAAAUAACGAAAUCCCCAACUCUCUCCGUGGGUCCUUGAGUUGCGUAGAAUUUCUAGGAUCAGCCAAAAAUGCAAUAAAAUAUGAUACGCAAUGAUGAUCUAAUGUAUAACAUUCCAAAUUGAAAAUUUGGGAUGUUACACUUAUAUAAAGCAAAGCGCUCCCGAGGACAUAUGGGAAUUAUUGUCAAGUUAGUUUUCAUCAUGCUCAUAUGAUUCGCGUUCGCUACUUUAAUAAUUUGAUAUGUGGGUGGAUCUGUGCUUGGGUGCUUUCCUUACUUGGACAAGCCUCCUACUUAUGAUUAACCCCUCUCGCAAGCAUCUGCGACUAAAGAAGAAUUAAGAUAAAUCUAACCAUAGCAUGAAACAUGUGGAUCCAAAUCAGCCCCUUACGAAGCAACGCAUAAACUAGGGUUUAAGCUUCUGUCACUCUAGCAACCCAUCAUCUACUUAUUACUUCCCAAUGCCUUCCCUUAGGCCCAAAUUAUGGUGAAGUGUCAUGUAGUCGAUGUUCACAUAACACCACUAGAGGAGAGACAACAUACAUCUCAUCAGAAUAUCGAACGAAUACCAAACUCACAUGAUUACUUAUAACAAGACUUAUCCCAUGUCCUCAGGAACAAACGCAACUACUCACAAAGCAUAUUCAUGUUCAUAAUCAUAGGGGUAUUAAAUAGCAUUAUGAACCUGAACAUAUGAUCUUCCAUCGAAUAAACCAACUAGCAUCAACUACAAGGAGUAAUCAACACUACUAGCAACCCACACGUACUAAUCUGAGGUUUUGAGACAAAGGUCGGAUACAAGAGAUGAACUAGGGUUUGAGAGGAGAUUGCGUUGGUGAAGAUGUUGAUGUUGAUUGACCCCCUCUCGAUGAGAGGGUCGUUGGUGAUGACGAUGGCUUCGAUUUCCCCCUUCGGGAGGGAAGUUUCCCCGGCAGAACAGCUCCGCCGGAGCCCUAGAUUGCUUCUGCACGGGUUCCGCCUCAAGACGGCGGCACUUCGUCCCGAAAGCUUCUUUAUGAUUUUUUUUCCAGGUCAAAACCCUCCAUAUAGCAAAAGAUGGGCACAGAGACCUCACAAUGUUGUGUGAAUACAUGAACAACAUUGUGUCCCUAAUGAGCCCUAUUAGACUAGCUCGUUGAUCAUAGUUGCUGAUGGUUUCCUGACCAUAGACACGAUUUGUCAUUUGAUAAUGGUAUCACAUCAUUAGGAGAAUGAUGUGAUGGACAAGACCCAACCGUAAGCUUAGCAUAAGAUCGCAUCACUUUGUUUAUUUGCUAUAGCUUUCUUCAUGUCAAGUAUCUGUUCAUUCGACCAUGAGAUCAUGCUACUCCUGUAUACCAGAGGAAUGUCGUAUGUCACUAUGUAGCUGGGUGAUCAUAAAGGUGCUCUAUAUGUAUCUCCGAUGGUCUCUGUUGGGUUGCAUGGAUCAAGACUAGGAUUUGUCACUCCAUAUGAUGGAGAGAUAUCUUUGGGCCCACUCGGUAAUACAAUAUCACAUGAAGCUUCAGGUGACUAAUGAGUUUAGUCACGGGAUCUUGUAUUACGGAAACGAGUAAAGAGACUUGUCGUUAACGAGAUUGAACUAGGUAUGGAGAUGCCGACCAUCGAAUCUCGGGCAAAUAACAUAUCACCGGACAAAGGGAAUUGCAUACGGGAUUACCCGAAUCCUCAACAUCGUGGUUCAACUGAUAAAGAUCUUUGUUGAAUAUGUGGGAACCAAUAUGGGCAUCCAGGUCUCGCUAUUUGUUAUUGAACAGAGAGGAGUCUGAGUCAUGUUGAUACGUCUCCAACGUAUCUAUAAUUUAUGAAGUAUUCAUGCCAUGUUAUAACAAUUUUCUAUGGUUUUGGUAUGAUUUGAAUGAAACUAACCCGGACUGACAACGUUUUUAGCAGAACCAUCGUGUUGUCAUUUUUUUUUGCAUAAAUGAAAGUUCUCGGAAUGGGAUGAAAAUUUACGAUGAUUUUUUAUGGACCAGAAGAGACCCACAGAGCACCGGAGCUGGGCCAGGAGAGGGCUGAGGGAGCCACAAGCCUGGGAGGCGCGCACCCUAGGGAGCACCCCCCGAGCUUAUGGGCCCCUUGGGCACCCCCCCUGGCAUGAGACCGACGCCAAAAAUUUUUAUAAAUACCCAAAACCCCGAAAAGAACCCUAGAUGAGAAGUUUCGCCGCCGCAAGCCUCUGUAUCCACGAAAACUCAAUCGAGACCCUAUUCUAGCACCCUGCCGGAGGGGAAAUCAUCGCCGGAGGCCAUCUUCAUCAUCCUGGUGGCCACCAUGAUGAGGAGGGAGUAGUUCACCCUCGGGGCUGAGGGUAUGUACUAGUAGCCAUGUAUUUGAUCUCUCUCUCUCUCUCUUGUGUUCUUGGUUUGGCAUGAUCUUGAUGUACCGCGAGUUUUGUUAAUAUAGUUUGAUCAUAUGGUUUUUCUCCCUCUCUAUCUUAUUGUGAUGAAUUGAAUUUACCUUUGAGGUUUCACUAUUAUCGGAUUGAAUACUUUUAUAGAUUUGAGAACACUUGAUGUAUGUCUUGCAUAUGAAUACCCGUGGUGAGAAUGGGGUAUUCUAUUGAUUCACUUGACAAAUGUUUUGGCACUCAACUCAUGGAUUCCCGAGGUGACAUUGUGGUAAUCUAUGCAUAGGGGUUGAUGCACGUUUUCGUCCUUAUUUCUCCGGUAGAAAUCUUCGGGCACUCUUUGAAGUUCUUUGUGUUAAUCUAAAGUUGUUUGAUGCAUAUCGUAUAAUCAACUCACGGAUACUUGUGGUGACAUUGGAGUAUCUAGGUGACAUUAGAGUUGGUUGAUGUGUAUCAUAUGGUGUUAUUUUAGUACGAACUCUAGGAUUGUUUGUGACACUUAUAGGAAUAACUCAAUGGAUUGAUCGGAAAGGAUAACUUUGAGGUGGUUUCGUACCAUACAAAUAAUUUCGUAUUAUGUUGUCUGCUAGACAGUGACAGAGCUAGACAAGAAAUGCUGGAGAGGCAAAAGGCAAACACAGCAAUCUCUGAGGGGGCCAAAGACUAAAGUUUUUCCUAAUUAAGCACCUUCAAAUUUUUUUUCCAGAUAUUUUGUCAAGGUUGGGGGGGUAUGGCCCCUACACGGAUACAUGUAGCUCCUCCAGUGCCGCUAGAUAAGAACUUUGGAGUGACUCUUCGUUGCACUUUGAGGGAUUGUUAUAUGAUUCAAUUAUCUUAGCACUGUUGACAGAUUGCACUAGCAAAAGAAUGAACCCUAGGCCUUGGUUCUGAGCAUUCCAAUACCAUUUUUUCUCCAUUUUACCAAUUGCUACCUUGCUGUUUUUUAUUUUCAGAUUAUAAAAACCUAUAUAUAUAUAUAUAUAUAUAUAUAUAUAUAUAUAUAUAUAGUAUCCAUACUACACUUGUAUCACCAUCCCUUCGCCGAACUAGUGCACCCAUACAAUUUUCCGUUGUAUUAGGUGUGUUGGUGACACAAAAGAUAUCUUGUAUUUGAUUGCAGCGUUGUUUGAGAGAGACCAUCUUCAUCCUACGUCUCCCAUGGAUUGAUAAAUCUUAGGUCGUCCACUUGAGGAAAAAUUGCUACUAUCCUACAAAACUCUGGCUUGGAGGCCCCACACGAGUCUACAACAAUAAAGUUGUGUAGUAGACAUCAAGCUCUUUUUUGACGUUGUUGCCGGGGAGGUGAGUGCUUGAUGGUAUAUCUUUAGAUUGCAAUUGAACCUUUUAGUUUCUCGUUGGGCCAUGCUACGCGUCCGCCGGUCGAUGUUUAGAUUUUAUCCGUCGCCUCGACGACCGUUGGAUGCCCAAACAGAUAGCCGUCCGAUCUACUGUCCGCGCCCCGCAUGCACACUCGUUAUUUCCCGCAACAACCGCUCUGUUGCGGAAACAACACUAUUUCCUCCGGCCCCAACAGAGUUGCGCCUCGCGCUGCGCUGCCGCAAUCCAUCGCAAAAUCAGCCCGCUGAUACAUCUCCAACGUAUCUAUAAUUUUUUAUUGUUCCAUGAUAUUAUAUUACCCCUUUUGGAUGUUUAUGGGCUUUAUUUUACAUAUUUAUAUCAUUUUUGGGAUUAACAUACUAACCAGAGGCCCAGCCCAUAUUGCUGUUUUUUUUGCCUAUUUCAGUAUUUCGAAGAAAACGAAUAUCAAACAGAGUCCAAACGGAAUGAAACCUUCGGGAGCGUGAUUUUUGGAACGAACGUGAUCCAAAGGACUUGGAGUGCAAGUCAAGAAGCAAUCGAGGCGGUCAGGAGAUAGGAGGGCGCGCCCACCCCUCCUGGGCGUGCCCGCCUGUCUCCUGGGCCCCUCGAGCAGCCACCGACGUACUUCUUCCUCCUAUAUAUACCUACGUACCCCGAAAACAUCCAGGGAGCCAACGAAAAACAAUUUCCACCACCGUAACUUUCUGUAUCCGUGAGAUACCAUCUUGGAGCCUUCGCCGGCGCUCUGCCGGAGGGGGAAUCGACCAUGGAUGGCUUCUACAUCAACACCAUAGCCCCUCCAAUGAGUUGUGAGUAGUUUACCACAGACCUUCGGGUCCAUAGUUAUUAGCUAGAUGGCUUCUUCUCUCUUUUUGGAUCUCAAUACCAUGUUCUCCCCCUCUCUUGUGGAGAUCUAUUUGAUGUAACUCUUUUUGUGGUGUGUUUGUCGAGAUCCGAUGAAUUGUGGGUUUAUGAUCAAGUGUAUCUAUGAGAAAUAUUUGAAUCUCCUCUGAAUUCUUUUAUGUAUGAUUGAGUUAUCUUUGCAAGUCUCUUCCAAUUAUCAGUUUGGUUUGUCCUACUAGAUUGAUCUUUCUUGCCAUGGGAGAAGUGCUUAGCUUUGGGUUCAAUCUUGCGGUGUCCUUACGCAGUGAUAGAAAGGGUUGCAAGGCACAUAUUGUAUUGUUGCCAUCGAGGAUGGGGUUUAUAUCAUAUUGCUUGAUUUUAUCCCUCUACAUCAUGUCAUCUUUCUUAAUGUGUUACUCUGUUCUUAUGAACUUAAUACUCUAGAUGCAUGCUGGAUAGCGGUCGAUGUGUGGAGUAAUAGUAGUAGAUGCAGGCAGGAGUCGGUCUACUUGUCGUGGACGUGAUGCCUAUAUACAUGAUCAUGCCUAGAUAAUCUCAUAAUUAUUCGCUUUUCUAUCAAUUGCUCGAUAGUAAUUUGUUCACCCACCGUAAUACUUAUGCUAUCUUGAGAGAAGCCACUAGUGAAACCUAUGGCCCCCGGGUCUAUCUUUUAUCAUAUAAGCUUUCAAUCUACUUUUAUUUGCAUCUUUACUUUUCCUAUCUAUAUUAUAAAAUACCAAAAAUAUAUUUAUCUUAUUAUACUAUCUCUAUCAUAUCUCACUUUCGCAAGUGGCCGUGAAGGGAUGGACAACCCCUUUAUUGCGUUGGUUGCGAGUUCUUUGUUUGUUUGUGUAGGUGCGUGGGACUUUUGAGGAGCCUCCUACUAGAUUGAUACCUUGGUUCUCAAAAAUUGAGGGAAAUACUUAUGCUACUAUUGCUGCAUCACCCUUUCCUCUUCAAGGAAAACCAACGCAAGCUCAAGAUGUAGCAAGAAGGAUUUCUGGCGCCGUUGCCGGGGAGGCCUUCGCUCAAGUCAAGACAUACCAAGUACCCAUCACAAACUCAUCUCCCUCGCAUUUACAUUAUUCUCCAUUUGUCUCUCGUUUUCCUCUCCCCACUUCACCCUUGCCGUUUUAUUCGCCCUCACUUUCCCAAUCUUAUCCUCUCUUUUUCUCUUGCCUUUUUCUGUUUGCUUGUGUGCCUGUUUGUCCUUAUGGCUUUGCCUAAGAGUAUCGACCUCCUUCUUAGAAGGUUGAAAGAGAUUGAAUCAAAUGUUAGAAGCUUUAUGACUUUGCUAUUUCAGCAUAAUAAUUUCUUCAGAAAAGAGCUUAAAGAACAAAAAGGUUUUUUGGGGUUUAUGAAUAAGGAGCUUGAUGAUAUGAAUAAAGAAUUUUAUGGUGUGAACUCUCAAAUUACCCGUCUUGAGAAGGCUAUAGCCCAAAUUUCUGAUAAGCAAGCUACCUUAGUCAAUAAGAUGGCUGCCAAACCAGAAAAGUUACAUGAAAAUAAUGAUGAAGAUCUUAAAGUUAUUGAUGUGUCCCCUAUUAGAUAUUUGUUUUGCAAUAUGAAUCUUGGUAAUAAUGGGACUGGAGAUGAGUCAACUUUAGUUAGAAGGUGUCCCAAUAAUUAGGAGUUUUUAGAUCUUGAUGCUAAAUUUGGUAAAAGUGGGAUUGGAGAGGUCAUGACUUUAAAUAGUAUUGAACCCACUAUCUCGGAUUUCAAGGAAUUUUAUUAUGAUAAUUGUUCUUUAGAAGGUUGUAUUUCCUUGUUGCAAUCCGUUGUUAAUUCUCCUCAUGCUUAUAGUCAAAAUAAAGCUUUUACCAAACAUAUCGUUGAUGCCUUGAUGCAAUCUUAUGAUGAAAAAUUUAAUUUGGAAGUUUCUAUACCUAGAAAACUUAAUGAUGAGUGGGAACUACUAUAAAGAUUAGAAUUAAAGAUCAUGAGUGUUUUGCUUUGUGUGAUUUGGGUGCUAGUGUUUCCACGAUUCCGAAAACUUUAUGUGAUAUUCUAGGUUUCCAUGAUCUUGAUGAUUGCUCUUUAAAUUUGCACCUUGCGGAUUCCACCAUUAAAAAGCCAAUGGGAAGGAUCAAUGAUGUUCUCAUUGUUGCAAAUAGAAAUUUGGUGCCCGUUGAUUUUAUCAUUCUUGAUAUAGAUUGCAAUCUUUCUUGCCCUAUUAUUCUUGGUAGACCUUUCCUUAGAACGAUUGGUGCGAUUAUUGAUAUGAAGGAAGGGAAUAUUAGAUUCCAAUUUCCAUUAAGGAAAGGCAUGGAGCACUUUCCAAGAAAGAAAGUUAAAUUACCUUAUGAAUCUAUCAUGCGGGCUACUUAUGAAUUUAGUGCCAAAGAUGGCACUACUUAGAUCUAUCUUCGCUUUUAUGCCUAGCUAGGGGCAUUAAACGAUAGCGCUAGUUGGGAGGCAACCCAAUUUUAUUUGUGUUUUUUGUUUUUGUUUCUGUUUAUUAAUAAAUUUUGCAUCUACCUUAUGUUUAUAUGUGUUUUUAUGUUUUAGUUAGUGUUUGUGCCAAGUAGAACCUAUAGGAUAACCUAUGGUGAUAGUUAAUUUGAUUCUGCUGGAAAGAAGAAACUUUGCGCGCACGAAAUUAGUUUUGUUAAAUCACAUAAACGUGAUUUUGCAUUGAUUAUUUUUGCUUCUGAUCAAUAGAUAAAUUGUAAAUGACUUCCUAUUUUGGUAGGAUUUUUAGAGUUCCCGAAGUUUGCGUUAGUUAUAGAUUGCUACAGACUGUUCUGUUUUUGACAGAUUCUGUUUUUCGUGAGUUGUUUGCUUAUUUUGAUGCAUCUAUGGCUAGUAUUAAGUGGUAUGUGAUAUCUCCAACGUAUCUAUAAUUUUUGAUUGUUCCAUGCUAUUAUAUUACCCUAAUUGGAUGUUUAUGGGCUUUAUUUUACACAUUUAUAUCAUUUUUGGGACUAACCUACUAACCGGAGGCCCAGCCCAUAUUGCUGUUUUAUUGCCUAUUUUAGUAUUUCGAAGAAAAGGAAUAUCAAAUGGAGUCCAAAUGGAAUGAAACCUUCGGGAGCGUGAUUUUUGGAACGAACGUGAUCCAGAGGACUUGGAGUGCGAGUCAAGAAGCAGCCGAGGCUCCCACGAGAUAGGAGGGCGCCCCCCCCAUAGGGCGCGCCCCGCUGUCUCGUGGGUCCCUCGAGCGGCCACCGACGUACUUCUUCCUCCUAUAUAUACCUACGUACCCCGAAAACAUCCAGGAGCAGGACGAAACACAAUUUCCACCACCGUAACCUUCUGUAUCCGCGAGAUCUCAUCUUGGAACCUUCGCCGGCACUCUGCCGGAGGGGGAAUCGACCAUGGAGGGCUUCUACAUCAACAUCCUUGCCCCUCCGAUGAUUUGUGAGUAGUUUACCACAGACCUAUGGGUCCAUAGUUAUUAGCUAGAUGGCUUCUUCUCUCUUUUUGGAUCUCAAUACAAUGUUCUCCCCCUCUCUUGUGGAGAUCUAUUCGAUGUAAACUCUUUUUGCGGUGUGUUUGUCGAGAUCCGAUGAAUUGUGGGUUUAUGAUCAAGUUUAUCUAUGAAUAAUAUUUGAAUCUUCUCUGAAUUCUUUUAUGUAUGAUUGAGUUAUCUUUGCAAGUCUCUUCGAAUUAUCAGUUUGGUUUGGCCUACUAGAUUGAUCUUUCUUGCCAUGGGAGAAGUGCUUAGCUUUGGGUUCAAUCUUACGGUGUCCUUACCCAGUGACAGAAAGGGUUGCAAGGCACGUAUUGUAUAGUUGCCAUCGAGGAUAACAAGAUGGGGUUUAUAUCAUAUUGCAUGACUCUACAUCAUGUCAUCUUGCUUAAUGUGUUACUCUGUUCCUUAUGAACUUAAUACUCUAGAUGCAGGCAGGAGUCGGUCGAUGUGUGGAGUAAUAGUAGUAGAUGCAGGCAGGAGUCGGUCUACUUGUCAUGGACGUGAUGCCUAUAUACAUGAUCAUGCCUAGAUGAUCUCAUCAUUAUUCGCUUUUCUAUCAAUUGCUCGACAGUAAUUUGUUCACCCACCGUAAUACUUAUGUUAUCUUGAGAGAAAACACUAGUGAAACCUAUGGCCCCCGGGUCUAUCUCUUAUCAUAUUUGCUUCCAAUUUACUUUUAUUUGCAUCUUUACUUUUUGCAUCUAUAUUAUAAAAUACCAAAAUAAUAUCUAUCUUAUCUUACUACCUUUAUUAGAUCUCACUUUCGCAAGUGGCCGUGAAGGGAUUGACAACCCCUUUAUUGUGUUGGUUGCGAGUUCUUUGUUUGUUUGUGUAGGUGCGUGGGACUUUUGAGGAGCCUCCUACUAGAUUGAUACCUUGGUUCUCAAAAACUGAGGGAAAUACUUACGCUACUAUUGCUGCAUCACCCUCUCCUCUUCGAGGAAAACCAACGCAAGCUCAAGACGUAGCAAGAAGGAUUUCUGGCGCCGUUGCCGGGGAGGUCUUCGCUCAAGUCAAGACAUACCAAGUACCCAUCACAAAUCCAUCUCCCUCGCAUUUACAUUAUUUGCCAUUUGCCUCUCGUUUUCCUCUCCCCCACUUCACCCUUGCCGUUUUAUUCGCCCUCUCUUUCCCAAUCUCCUCCUCUCUUUUUGCUUGCCUUUUUCUGUUUGCUUGUGUGUCGGAUUACUUGCUGCCAUGGCGCAAGAUAAUACCAAAUUGUGUGAUUUUUCAAAUACCAAUAAUAAUGAUUUCCUUAGUACUCCUAUUGCUCCUCUUAAUGAUGUUGAGUCUUGUGAAAUCAAUACUGCUUUGCUGAAUCUUGUUAUGAAAGAUCAAUUCGCCGGCCUUCCUAGUGAAGAUGCCGCUACUCAUCUAAACAACUUUGUUGAUUUGUGUGAUAUUCAGAAGAAGAAAGAUACGGAUAACAAUAUUGUCAAAUUGAAGUUAUUUCCGUUUCCACUUAGAGAUCGUGCUAAAGUUUGGUUUUCGUCUUUGCCUAAAAAUAGUAUUGAUUCUUGGAACAAGUGCAAAGAUGCUUUUAUCUCUAAGUAUUUUCCUCCUGCUAAGAUUAUCACUCUUAGGAAUGACAUUAUGAAUUUUAAACAACUUGAUCAUGAGCAUGUUUCCCAAUCUUGGGAAACAAUGAAAUUGAUGCUUCGCAAUUGCCCUACUCAUGGUUUGAAUUUAUGGAUGAUCAUACAAAAAUUUUAUGCCGGUUUGAACUUUGCUUCUAGAAAUCUCUUAGAUUCGGCUGCGGGAGGCACGUUUAUGGAAAUCACGUUAGGAGAUGCUACAAAACUUCUUGAUAAUAUUAUGGCUAAUUAUUCUCAAUGGCACACCGAAAGAUCUUCUAGUAAAAAAGUGCAUGCUGUAGAAGAAAUCAAUGUUUUGAGUGGAAAGAUGGAUGAACUUAUGAAGAUGUUUUCUACUAAAAAUACUCCUCUUGAUCCCAAUGAUAUGCCUUUGUCUUCUUUGAUUGAGAAUAAUAAUGAAUCUAUGGAUGUGAAUUUUGUUGGUAGGAAUAGUUUUGGAAACAAUGCUUAUAGAGGAAACUUUAAUGCUAGUCCGUUCCCUAGUAAUUCCUCUAAUAAUUAUGGAAAUUCCUACAAUAAUUCUUAUGGUAAUCUUAAUAAGAUGCCCUCUGAUUUUGAGAAUAGUGUGAAAGAAUUUAUGAUUUCUCAAAAGAAUUUUAAUGCUUUGCUUGAAGAAAAAUUGCUCAAAGUUGAUGAUUUGGCUAGGAACGUUGAUAGACUUUCGCUUGAUGUUGAUUCUCUCAAACUUAGAUCUUCUCCUCCUAAGCAUGAUAUCAAUGAGUCUCUCAAAGUAAUGAGAAUUUCCAUUGACGAGUGCAAGAAAAGAACCGCUAGAUUGCGUGCUAAAAAAGAUAGCUUUAUAAAAGUGUGUUCUUCUAGUUUACAUGAAAAUAAUGAUGAGGAUCUUAAAGUUAUUGAUGCGUCUCCUAUUAGAUCUAUGUUUUGCAAUAUGAAUUUGGAUGAUUAUGGUACUGAUGAUGAAUCAACUUUGCCUAGAAGGCGUCCAAAGAAUUCGGAGUUUUUAGAUCUUGAUGCUAAAUUUGGUAAAAGUAGGAUUGGAGAGUCCUCAACUUCAAAUAACAUUGAACCUACUAUCUCGGAUUUCAAGGAAUUUGAUUAUGAUAAUUGUUCUUUAAAAGGUUGUAUUUCCUUGUUGCAAUCCGUUGUUAAUUCUCCUCAUGCUUAUAGUCAAAAUAAAGCUUUUAUCAAACAUAUUGUUGAUGCCUUGAUGCAAUCUUAUGAUGAAAAACUUAAUUUGGAAGUUUCUAUACCUAGAAAACUUAAUGAUGAGUGGGAACCUACUAUAAAGAUUAGAAUUAAAGAUCAUGAGUGUUUUUCUUUGUGUGAUUUGGGUGCUGGUGUUUCCACAAUUCCGAAAACUUUAUGCGAUAUUCUAGGUUUCCAUGAUCUUGAUGAUUGCUCUUUAAAUUUGCACCUUGCGGACUCCACCAUUAAAAAGCCUAUGAGAAGGAUCAAUGAUGUUCUCAUUGUUGCAAAUAGAAAUUUGGUGCCCGUGGAUUUUAUCGUUCAUGAUAUAGAUUGCAAUCUUUCUUGCCCUAUUAUUCUUGGUAGACCUUUCCUUAGAACGAUUGGCGCGAUUAUUGAUAUGAAGGAAGGGAAUAUUAGAUUCCAAUUUCCAUUAAAGAAAGGCAUGGAGCACUUUCCAAGAAAUAAAGUCAAAUUACCUUAUGAAUCUAUCAUGCGGGCUACUUAUGAAUUUAGUGCCAAAGAUGGCACUCGUUAGAUCUAUCUUUGCUUUUAUACCUAGCUAGGGGCGUUAAACGAUAGCGCUAGUUCGGGUCCAUAGUUAUUAGCUAGAUGGCUUCUUCUCUAUUUUUGGAUCUCAAUACCAUAUUCUCCCCCUCUCUUGUGGAGAUCUAUUUGAACUCUUUUUGUGGUGUGUUUGUCGAGUUCUGAUGAAUUGUGGGUUUAUGAUCAAGUUUAUCUAUGAGAAAUAUUUGAAUCUCCUCUGAAUUCUUUUAUGUAUGAUUGAGUUAUCUUUGCAAGUCUCUUCGAAUUAUCAGUUUGGUUUGGCCUACUAGAUUGAUCUUUCUUGCCAUGGGAGAAGUGCUUAGCUUUGGGUUCAAUCUUGCGGUGUCCUUACCCAGUGACAUAAAGGGUUACAAGGCACGUAUUGUAUUGUUGCCAUCGAUGAUAAAAAGAUGGGGUUUAUAUCAUAUUGCUUGAGUUUAUCCCUCUACAUCAUGUCAUCUUUCUUAAUGCGUUACUCUGUUCUUAUGAACUUAAUACUCUAGAUGCAUGCUGGAUAGCGGUCGAUGUGUGGAGUAAUAGUAGUAGAUGCAGGCAGGAGUCGGUCUACUUUUCGCGGACGUGAUGCCUAUGUACAUGAUCAUGCCUAGAUAAUCUCAUAAUUAUUCGCUUUUCUAUCAAUUGCUCGACAGUAAUUCGUUCACCCACCGUAAUACUUAUGCUAUCUUGAGAGAAGCCAUUAGUGAAACCUAUGGCCCCCGGGUCUAUCUUUUAUCAUAUAAGCUUUCAAUCUACUUUUAUUUGCAUCUUUACUUUUCCUAUCUAUAUUAUAAAAUACCAAAAAUAUAUUUAUCUUAUCAUACUAUCUCUAUCAGAUCUCACUUUUGCAAGUGGCCGUGAAGGGAUUGACAACCCCUUUAUUGCGUUGGUUGCGAGUUCUUUGUUUGUUUGUGUAGGUGUGUGGGACUUUUGAGGAGCCUCCUACUGGAUUGAUACCUUGGUCCUCAAAAACUGAGGGAAAUAUUUACGCUCAUAUUGCUGCAUCACCCUUUCCUCUUCAAGGAAAACCAACGCAAGCUCAAGACGUAGCACCCGCCGCCGGCAUGCAGGAACUAAAUUGAAGUUUCUGCAAGACUAUGGUGCACCAUGGUUGGAUCUGACGCAAAUCCAGCUCACCGAGGAGGCCUGCUUCGAGAACAUCCGCGGCCUCUACUCCAGCAUGACGGCAAUGAGCUCCCAUGCUGGGCACUCCUUUGACGAUUUUUGCAAACUGAAACUAUGUUUUUGAAACAUGUGUCAUGUUGCAAAUGUUUGGCCUCAUACGCUCUAACAUUGUGUGCUCCUCCAACGCUUUUUGCAACCAGGGCUAUGUUUCUAAAGCAAGACCCAUGUUGCAAAAAAAACCUCGCUGCCGAACUACUUUUUCUAAAACAAGACCUGUAUUGCAGAAAUUUUCUAAAUCUAGACCCUGUUGCUUAAAAAAAACUUCAGCACUGAACCGUUUUUUAUUUCUGAAACAAGAUCUUUGUUGCAGAAACCACUGAUCUCUGAAUCAUACCUGCUUGAGUCAUCGCCGGCCACCGCCGAUCCCGAGCAAGUCAUCGUCGCCACUGCGGUGGAUAAGGCCUGGUGGCACAACGCCUUGCGCCGCCACACCCGUCCGCCGGCUCCCAAAUCCAGUCGCUCGCCCUCUAAUCCAGACGAGCCCCGAACCCCUGCCCCCCUACGGUUACCCAGUUGCAGGAAUGACUGUCUUGAAACAACAGGUGAGUUGCAGAAAAACAGACGCGGCUUCGGCGAACGCGGGGACACUAUCGACCGUCUGAUCAACACACGAUCAAACGGCCACGGAGCCGGCGGACGGGCGCGCGCGACCGCCCGGUAGAAGGUAAGCUUUUUCCUUUCUUGUUUUAUCACUAGUUUGGUUUAUAAAAGAAAAAUAAAAACAUAUGGAACUGAGGUUGCCUCAUAUGCUUCGGCUUUUUAAUAUCUUCGUGAAAUGGUGGAAAGGAAAAUUGUGCCCAAUUGUUAGAAGAAGAAUUCAAUAAAAUGUUUGGCAUAAAAUCUUUGAAUGGUGAGCAUAUAUGCAAUGUUGUUAUUAUGAACUCUAUGAAUAUCCAAAAUACUAAUGAUGAUUGCACUAGUCAUGACAAAAAUGUUUCUUAUAAGCAUGUCAAUUUUUGUGGAGUGCAUAAAAUUUGUGAAGACAUGCCUUAUAGAGAUGAUAGAUUUUGUAAGAAGCAUAAACAAGAUAAAACCAAUUGGUGGUUUAAAGUGAUAGAUGAAUUUGCCACAAAAUUAUGCUUUGUUCAUCCCACCACUUGUGAAUUUUGCAAUAUGAUUGGUCAUCUUAAUUUCCAAUGCAAAUUUUUUCAUGAUCGAAUCGUGUCCAAAUAUUGUAAUGACUUGAUCACCCUUGAAAUUUAUAAUGAAUUUUGUUUAUUUUUGGGGUGUGAAGAAUAUUUAUGUGCAUUUUAAUUUAUUGGACCAAGAACUUUGUUUGAUAUGAUGCACUUUUGGUUGUAGGAUUAUAAAGUUUGAUUGAUAUGAUGCACUUUUGGUUGUAGAAAUCUGAAAAUAUUGCUUUACAUGAUGAGUUUGAUGUUCAAAUGCGCUUGUAUAUUAGCUGUACAUUGGUUGUACACAGCCGCGCAUCCGGUUUUACAUCUUCACAUAUGCACCAUCUAUUGGAGUUGGAGUUCUACAUCACAAAUCUAUUGGAGGCGACUAGCAAAAAUGCCCGUGCGUUGCAAUGGGAGGAAAAUAAUGACGGCAGGUGCAAGUACAUGUGUUAUGUGCAAGCACAAUGUCCCAUAAUGUCGGAUCAGUAUAAACCACAUGCUAAUUAUUUCAUCCAUCAAACUUCUAAAAAAUGCAACAUUCAGACCUUUAUCUACUACCUCUAUAAAAGCACGAGAGGGCGGAGAACCAAUUCAUCUCAUCCAUCCAAUUAAAGAAUCUAACGAUCCAAAUCAUCGGAAUGUUUAGCAUCAAACCACGGUUAGCUCAGCCCACUAAUCCCAUGAUCCACCCCUGUCAUCCGUCCCCCCGGCUCGAAGAAAAAAACCACGAGAGCACCAUGCUCUCUCGUCGGUUGCUCAUAUCCUGCUCCCGCAUGACCUCUCGCCCCCUCCUCCUCCUCCUCCUCCCGCCUCCUGCCUCUCCCUCCUCCGCUCCCUCCUGCUCCGCCUCCGUGCCAUUCCCCGCCCCCACCUCCCCACCCUCCUCUCCCUCGCCCUCCCCGGCAAAAACGGCAACGACGGCGGCGGUGGCAACAACAGCGGCGGCGGUGGGGAUGACGAAACAGGGGACGGCGGCGGCGAGUGGGGCGGCCACCGGGGGGAGGCGCUGUUCGUGCUGCCGCAGGCGGGGAGGAAGCUCUCCAGCCUGCCGGCGGACCUCGCCAUGGCCGUGGAGGGCGGCCGCGUCACGGGAUAUGGAGCGCUCGCCGCUGCUCCAUUGGCUGCUGGGCUUUAGAUGGUUCAGGGAGCGCCUCCUCGCCGACGACCUCUUCCUCGCCAAGCUCGCCAUGGAGAUGGGCGUCGGCAUGAUCGCCAAGGUCCGUGGGAUCGACAUGGAUGAAUCAUGAAUGCUUUCAAAUUAUACUUACGCGCAACCCUGCCGCGGCCACCGCUAGGGUGCCGGCGAGGGAUAGGCUCUGCUUUGCCCCCGCAUCUCCACCAGCUACCGCCGCGCCGCCGCUCCUCGCCAUGGAAGGUGCCCACGUUGCCGACCCUGUGCGCCGCCCGCGGCACAGCUGCAAGGUGGUGAUGUCCACCCCUGCGCUGGAGCACGCCACCUUCGUCCUCAAGCGCCAGGCGGUGCUGCUCACGGCGGCAGAUGCGCGCCGGCCCUCUAGUGCCAUGGCGGUCGGGCUGGAGCUCGAGGCGCGGCUGCGCAUCCCGCCGCACCAGCUGCGGAUCACCAGCCACGACCCGGAGGACUACCUCAUCAUCUUCGACCUGCCGAUCCAUCAAGACCAAGUUGUCAAGCUCGGCUCGCUGACAGUCGACGGCGCCAAGUUCUUCAUCAAGCGCUGGCACGAGGAUGACCACGCGGUGGUGCAAACCUUCAACUACCAUGUCCGGGUGGUCAUUGAGAAGAUGCCGCGGCAGUUCUGGUCCGUCGAGGGGGCGGAGGAGGCCCUGGGCUGCCGCGUCGACCGCCUCAACAGCCGCACCUUCGAGCGGAGCCACACCAAAAGAUUCGCCUGCUGGGUGUGGGUGUGGGAUGUUGGGCUCAUCCCGACCAAGCACACCUUCUGGCGGAUGGAGCGAGGGGCGGGCCGCGUGGAGGAGAUGCUCGGUUUCUCCCCGCCGGGACGCGUCAUUGCCACACCACCAUCUGCGAGCCGGCACGACGUCCUCAUCCACGUGGACCGCAUCGAAGACUGGUCGCCCUACGAGCCGCGGUCGCCGCGCUCGGCGCAGAGCGGCCUGCCUUCCUCGGAGUCUGACGACGACGACAGGCCCAUGCCGCGGAUCAUCCCCGUCGCCUCCUGGAAGAAAGGAGUGGAGGACGGUCAGCGCGACCCUCAGCACCGACGCCAGCUCGCCGUGCUCGCCGAUGUGGGCUGCCGCGGUGCGCCCCGUGGCGGUGGCCGUAAGGAUGACGAUGGAGAAGACCAGGGCGGCCGCAGAUCAUGGAAGGACACGCUGCUAGGCCAGAGCCGCGCCGGCAAGGAGAAGGUGGGGGAGCAGGAGAGCUCCUCCAGGCGCCGUAGCCGCUCACCGCCGGGGCAGCGCUGCUCGGAGAGCUCGCGCGGCCGUCGCAGCUCCGCCCGUCAUCAAGCUGCGGUCACCGGGGGUGCUACCCUCCAUGCGCCGCGCCCCCUACCCCCGCUGGCUGCGGCUGCGGCCGCCACGGACCAAGACCCGAUCGCUGAUUUCUUUGCCGGCGCCAAGACCCAGCUCCCGCAGCCACCACCUUUCGACUGCAUGGCUGCUGAGCUGGAGGCUCACGUGUCUGCCGCCGUCGCGACCCCACUGGAGUUCAACGACCAAGUCAACCGCGUCAACAAGGCGGACGCGGGCCUGCCAGACGCCUUCGGCCCAACCUUGGCGGGCCCAGCUAUUGCGGUGGGCCUCCUCAGUCGCAAGGAGCCGGCCCGCGCCGCAGCGGUGGAGGUGCAGCUCGGAGCCGUAACGCAACAGGUAUGCUGCCUAUAGCUGGGUGCAGAGGGCGAAGAUUCAGACCUGAACGCGGCCCUGCUGCGCCUCUUCCAAGCCUUCAAGCCGCCGCUGGUGCCCGACGCACCGGUGCGACGCUCGUCGGCCCCGCCAAAGACCAGGGCCACGCCUGCCCCGGUGCGCCAUAGUGCCUGCCAGGCGGCAAAUCCGUCGACGGUGCCAGUUGCGCAGCGGGGGACGCUGCGACUUGUGCGCGAGCUGGGGCUACUUGGCCCGAAGGAGAAGAUGACCACCAAGGCUGCUGAGAAGUUGCUCCGGAAAUUCGACGAGCCGCUCACCGACGACGACAUCGCCUGCAUCGCCAAGCUGACUCGCCUCAACAAGGAGGCGCUGCGCGUAGCGGCCUCCAUGGCCGGCGCGGAUGGAGUGGCCGAGGAGGCCGUAGUCUGGUCAUGUUAGUGCAAGCUAUUAGGUCUAUCCAACGGCGCCCGGCCAUAAGCGGGGUUGACUUAGGGCUCGAUGUUUCUCUUGUAGGGCUAGUGGUUACGAGUAGCUGGCGUUGCUGCAAUUUGGGGCCUAUUGGUGGGCAGCAACGUUCCCUGAAUGUUGGGGGAGUGUUCUUGUUGUGGUCAGUACUUCUAUCUUCAAUCAAUGAAACUAGUAGCCGUUGGAGGAUGAUCAGGUGUUCCCAUGGAUGACAACCACUGUCCGAUAGUUAGUUGGAAUGUACGCGGGCUUAACAUGCUAGCCAAGCGUGACGCUGUCUGCGAAGCGGUCACGGCGCAUCGACCAGCAAUUGUAUGUCUUCAGGAGACGAAAAUUGACACUUGGUCGCCGGCUCUAGUUAGGGAUAUAGGAGGUAGCAGGCUAGCCGACUGCGUAGUGCUGCCUGCGAUCGGGUCCAGGGGCGGGGUGGCCAUUCUUUGGGAUAGCGAGAUUGUCUCGAUCGUGUCCCAGGCAAUAGGAGAAUUUGCCAUCACUACAAAGGUAACGAUCAGGCAAUCGGCCACCACAUUUUGGCUGACCGCGGUCUAUGGUCCGGCAGACGACAGUCGGGAGGAUGCUUUCCUUUUGGAGCUAGCAAGAUCUGCCCCCCCCCCCCUGGCGAACCUUUGCUCCUCAUUGGUGAUUUCAACAUAAUUUACGAAGCUAGAGAUAAGAACAAUUUCAACCUUAAACGGCGCAUCAUGGGAAAGUUUAGAGCGGCACUAGAUGUGGCAGGCUUGCGGGAAAUCAAAUGUAAAAACAGGCGAUUCACCUGGAGUAACGAGCGGCAAAACCCAACGCUGGUUAGUAUAGAUAAAUUCUUCUGCACUAUGAGCUGGGAACUUCUCUUCCCCGCCUAUGGCUUAAUGGCCGCAGCCACGGCGUGCUCCGAUCACUGCCCGUUGGUCUUAGCGCCAUGCGAAGCUCCGAUCCAUCGUGCUCGCUUUAGAUUUGAAUCCUUCUAGCCACAGUUCCCGUGCUUUCACAUUACCGUGGAGCGCGCCUGGAGCAGGCCGGUUCAGCAGCGUUGCGCGUUUGCGCGUCUGCAGGUCAAGGUGGCCAAGGUGGCGCACGAUCUGAAGAUAUGGAGCAGAUCGUUGUUUAGCGACGCCAAGACCCAAUUCCAUAUAGCCAGUGAGGUCAUCCUUCGACUUGAUGUGGCGCAGGAGACGCGAACACUGUCAGUUGCAGAGUUCAACCUGCGCAAACUGCUCAAGCUAAGGCUGGUGGGGCUGGCGGCAAUCGAGCGGGCUAGAAGGAGGCAAGCCUCCAGGGUUCUUUGGCUGCGAGCAGGCGAUGCCAGCAUGAAGUUCUUCCAUGCCAAGUGUUGUUCCCGAAGGCGCAAAAACUUCAUCCAUUCAAUCCAGAGCGACGAUCGCUGUGCCACGGCGCAUGGUGACAAGGAGCAGCUAAUACACGACCACUUCAGCAGCAUGAUGGCAGCAGGCGCGGGACGACGCGUCACUCUGAACUGGAGAGAGCUGCAGCUACCAAGGGUUGAAGCAGCAGGGCUGGACAAUCCAUUCACAGAGGGAGAGGUCUGGGCAGCAAUCAUGCAGUCACCAGCGGAGAAGGCGCCAGGCCCUGAUGGCUUCAAUGGAACUUUCUUCAGGGCCUGCUGGUCGAUCAUCAGUGCAGAUCUCAUGGCAGCUUUCCACCAAUUCUACCGCCUGGCGGGCGGGAACCUUGAUGUUUUGAACUUGGCCUUUGUUGCCCUGCUGCCGAAGAAAGAUGGAGCUGUGCGGAUGACAGAUUUUCGCCCGAUUAGUCUAGUCCACUGCUUUGCAAAGCUAGUCACAAAGGUGCUGUCAAUUCGGCUCUCCAAAGUUAUCAACAAGAUCGUCUCCCAUCCUCAGUCAGCCUUCCUGAAGACGAGAUGCAUACAGGACAGUUUCCUCUAUGUCCAAAAUGGAGUGAGGGCUCUGCAUCGAUCCAAAACCCCAGCGAUGUUACUCAAACUGGACAUCUCAAAAGCCUUUGACAGCGUGUCCUGGGACUACCUGCUAGAGCUGCUGCAGGAAUUGGGGUUCAGUGCCAGAUGGAGGGACUGGAUCGCCUGGCUGUUGGCAACAUCAAACUCGGAGUUCAUGCUUAAUGGAGUGCCAAGGAGGAAGAUUAAACACCGCAAGGGCCUGCAACAGGGCGACCCGAUGUCCCCACUGCUGUUUAUUCUGGCCAUUGACCCGUUGCAGCGCCUAAUCGAUGCAGCAGUUCAACAACAGAUGACGCAGCCACUGCCGAGGAGGGAGUUGAAGCUGCGAGUUAGCCUGUACGCAGAUGACGCAGUGGUGUUCAUGAACCCAGUGAAAGAAGAGAUGGAGGUGCUAACCACCAUACUGAACCUGUUCGGCGAGGCCACGGGUCUAAAGAUUAACAGGCAUAAAUCAACAGCGACCCCAAUCAGAUGUGAAGAACUGGAUGUCCAGCAAAUUCUACAAAGCUUUGGAGGAAUCAUCACAAAUUUCCCGCUAAAGUACUUGGGGCUCCCGCUAACUCUGACUAGAACUAGACUUGUGCACCUCCAGUAUGUUUUGGACCGAAUCAGAGCGCGGCUAGCGGGAUGGAAGGGCAUGCUUAUGUCCAUUGCGGGCCGGCGAGUCCUCGUCAGAGCAGUCCUAACUGCAAUCCCUGCGUUUGCAAUGACAGUGCUUCGCAUGCCCAAGAAAUUCUUCAGAGAAAUUGACAAGGUCAGGCGGCACUUCCUGUGGGCACAAGAGAAUGAGCUUUCCGGAGGCAAAUGCAAAGUUAGCUGGAGCAAAGUGUGCUCACCGGUGGAUAAGCAGGGACUUGGCAUCCUUAACCUUGAGUGCUUUAGCAGGGCCCUGCGGCAACGUUGGCUAUGGCAAUCCUGGAAGCACCCAGAAAAGCCAUGGGUGGGCAUGGAGGUGCCGUGCACUGCCUCUGAUCGGUUGUUUUUCAGCACGGCCACCUCGGUUACGAUUGGUAAUGGACAGACGGCAAGGUUUUGGACCUACUCCUGGCACCAGGCCGGUGCACUGCACCUCCUCUUUCCAGCGUUGUACCAGCACUCCAGGAGGAAGAACAGAUCGGUAGCAGAUGCCAUACGGGAUGAUCAAUGGAUCCUCGACCUUUCGCACGGGCAGACAGAUCAAAUAGUACGGGACUGCGUUGCCCUGGCAAGACUGCUACGACUGCUGCCCGUAAGCCUCGUUUCUGACACGAGUGACGAGAUCAGAUGGAACUUGGAGGGCACCGGCUGCUACACUGCUGCUUCGGCUUACCGGGCGCAAUUCCAAGCGAACCUCAACUCCACAUACCCGCAGCUAAUCUGGAAGACUUGGGCGCCAGGGAAACUGAAGAUUUUCUUUUGGCUGCUCCUGCUAAAUAGGCUCUGGUGCAAUGAUCGACUGCAGCGAAGAGGAUGGCCUAAUGCAUACUUCUGUCAGUUCUGCUUCAGAAACCUCGAGACGGCUGACCACAUCUUCUGGUCCUGCCCCUUCACUCUCACAAUUUGGAACAUCAUUUCGUUUUGGAAGGGCUGUGAAGCUCUGCGUUUGCAGCCUGAUGAACAGCCCACAAGCAGCGCCGAGAGGAUCAUGAGCAUUGUCCAGGCCUCAGAACCAGUGUUCAGGAAGGGCAUAAAGUCACUCACAAUGCUAGCAGCCUGGGAAAUUUGGAAACACAGGAACGAUUGCACUUUCAGGGGGAAGGAGGCAUAUGAGACAGUAAUCUUGCAGGCCAUCAGGCGAGGCAUCGAGCUAUGGAGGCAGGCCGGAGCAACAUGCCUGAUGCAUCCAUUCACGCUGCCACCGGAAGGGAUAGGCUGAGUAGAGCUGGCGUUGAGACGUGUCGCCAUGUUUUUUCUUCAGUUUCCGGUUUCCAGUUUUCAGUUAUUCCUUUGAUCAUUCCGAUCACCCCAUGUAUUUGACUUUUCUCCACUGCUUCCUGCUAUGAUCAACAUGAAAAGCCAGCCAAGCUGGAUCUUUCAAAAAAAAUAUUCUUAGUUUAUCCUCCUUUGGUUUUCAGAAGAAAAAAAAUGAAAUCGCGUUUUAAUUUGUCUGACCCUUUUUUGUUGCUGCUCCAUAAGGUCCUCCCGGCGCCUCACACUUGCCGCCGUGCCAUCUCUCCAUCCAGAGUGCCCCGAGGCUCCCUCCCACCAUUCCUUCCCCCGCGGCAGUGUCACCAUGGACCACGGAGCAAAGUCUCGACCGCGGCGGCGCUGUCGUGUUGAGGAGGGAGGAUCAAGAAGGGGGGUGGAGCUGGGGCGACGGCCACACGGAAGGAGCCGGGAGCAUGCCAGAGCGGCACUCAGUUUGCUCAGGUGCCGCUGUGCAGUCGUAUCUACGAGCAGGUAUAUUUGGAAUUGGAGGAAACAUAUCCUGAUUACUCUCUGGUUUUAUCUACUUUGUCUCGUUUGCUUGCUUCAACUCAUGGCGUUCUCAUCCAUGGAGCCUGCGGCCGGGUGGGGAGCUCCUCGCAAGUUGUGGCGACGGCUGAAAUAAAUUGCGCUCGUUCAUGUGGUCGACAGUGAGGAAAAAGCACAUGUUUUUUUGGUUGAGGUUGCUCUGCACUUGUUCGUAGCAAUACCAAACAACGGUAGAAACUUCAUUUGUUUGUCAGGCUUGUUUGUGGUUUUACUAAACUUCUUUGUCAGGCUUGUUUGUGGUCUUUCUGCUGAACUUCAUUUGUAGAUAUUGCACAAAAGCAUGAUGACGACUACGAGCCCGCCCCGUCGCCGCCGCGCCCCUGCUGCUUCCGCAGUGCACCGCUAUUCUUACACCUGCAGCCUUCACAGCCUGCCUCUACCGCUCCCGCCAGCACCCCGUCGCGGCUGUCGUCGCCGGAGAGACACCCACCGCCGGCACAGGCGCAUGAGCCAUCGCCGCCGGAGAUAAGUCAGAGACCCGGAGCCCCCAUCCUGGUAUUGGACCUUCCAAUUCAAGGCACCUUCCACCUAAUACUGGAGUAAGUGGUAUGGCACUCUCUCUCCUUUCCGGAUGGGCCGAUGGAUAAGAUGCAUUUUUGUCCCCUCUUUGAAUUGAGUACAAGCAUGUAUCUGAACUUUUACCCACUUCUCUUCUGUCGAUGGGCACGAUGUGGUGCAGGUUCCACAGAUUCAGGAAAAGCAGGGCUGAAUGGAAUCCAACGGAACUAAUGUUGCAGCUAUAGCAUCCGAUAUUUAGUGAUACAUGUUUAAUUCGGUGAUAACAGGUAUAUCAUCCCAUAUUGUUUCACUUGCAUGGUUCUGUUCCAUUGAUGUUGUAGCUGGUACUUGCCAGUCUCUAUGGAGUAUAGGUACGAGUGGAGUAAGUGAGAAGAGUACAUUAUUGUAGGUUGCAUGUACUUGUUGUAGUUACCUAAACCAUGCAAAAAUGGACAGAUUUUUCAACAUAUGAAGCUGUUAUUAGCUAACAUCUCUUCUUUUUUCUCAUUUAGUUGCAUUACUGGAAGGUGGGUCAGGGCGCAGUGUUGAAUCAUCUUGAUUGGCCCGAGAGAAAUGAGGACGCUGCGACAGGCAACCUUUUGCUUACUAACCUCGCAAAUAUUUGAAGCGUAAGUCUCUAACUACGAAAAUGAUCUCAAAACCUUUCAUGUGACAUUGCACCUAUGAUAUGGAGAGUAUGACGAAUUAUACAAAAAGAAAAUAUAAUUUAUGGUAAUAGAAUUACAUGUAGUACUUAAUAUUUAUUACCCGUAUGAAGCAAAGUGUCUACAACCUUUAUAACUACAGCAGUUUAACUUUGAUACUCGGCAAUAGGUAUGCCGAGCUUUGCGGUUUGCCACUUCCUGAAGUAAGUAGAAAUAGGAGUUCCAGUUUCUUGAUUUUCAGGAAACUGAGGAGGAGCGUUUGAGUAAAGAGGAGAGGAAUGGUUGGGAAGCAAAUAAGAGGAAAAGGAGAGGAAAAGCAGGAGGAUGAACUGCUAAAAUAUAGCUAUGAUCCCAUGAGUAUAUUAUAAAUAUCAUUUUAGUUUGUUGUCUUUUUAUUGAUUUUUCUUUGUGAUAAUAAUUGAGAAAUAAAGAAUAAUUAUGGCAUGUCAAAUAUUACCAUACUACCAGAUAUUUUUUAUUAUAUUUAGACAUUUCCAUUUUGGGUAGACAUGUGUUAUGUUUCUUAACAUUUUCUUCUUCUUGAUCUCGACUUACUUUGGACAUGCAAAGUGAGGACUUGGAUGUCUGCACACUCUAAUUUGGCUCUGAAGUUUCAAUUUGGAUAUUUGUCUCUUCUAGGUGACUUGUAAUGCAAAUUCUCUAUAAAUACAUUCAUGGAGCUAGGUGAAAACUAAGGGGACUUAUAGCAUGGCUACGGAAAAAGCUAAUAAGUGAUCACUAGGCAGUAGCACCAUAUGUUACAUAUAACUGGGUCAAGCUUUCAUCUUAUUUGGUGCCUCCUUCAUGUGUCCGUGUGUCCAUGUAUGGAUGAAAAACUAUGUAAAUAUUUGACAACUAUUUUGAUAAUUAUUUGAUGUCAAGUGAGACGUGCGUUGCACGUGCAAGCUUACUAGUUGAAGAAAGUGCAAUAUUCAGACGCCGGAUGCAGACAUUAACAUCUCUUUACUCACCCGCGUGCAAAAUCCUUCCAUGAAAUUCCAUUUAUAAAUACUCUUAUCCAAAGCCUUCCCUUCAAGUAUAUGCUAUUUAUUCAGUCUCUUUGUGUUGCUCAGUCGUCUUGUCUAUUGGAUACUUUCUUGUGCUUCCGGUUUAAUGGGAUUUUAACGCAUGAUCGAUGCUCCGCUUUAAUCAUCACCAUGGAAAGUUUACCCAUGCAUGUCAUCUGCCCGUGAGCCCUCCUUUAAUUAUUAUGCGAACAAACACGAGUGAUGUGCUAAAUCGAUGGUGCAACUUCCAUCCUUAAGAAUGCAUAGCAGCCCCACAAUCCUCAGGAUUUAUCAUUUCUUCAUGGCAGCCCAGUUAAUUUCUUCCCAUGAUCUUCAGAUUUUGUUCUCAUUUGGUUUUAAAGUGAUAGAUGAAUUUUCUACUCCCUCCGUCCCAAAAUUCUUGUCUUAGAUUAGUCUAGAUACGGAUGUAUCUAAUACCAAAACGUGACUUGAUACAUCCGUAUUUAGACAAAUCUAAAACAAGAAUUUUGGGACGGAACGAGUACAAAAUUACGCUCUGUUCAUCCCAUCACUUGUGAAUUUUGCAAUAGGGUUUUGGUCAUCUUAAUUUCCAAUGGAAAUUUUUUUCAUGAUCAAAUCAUGUCCAAAUAUUGUAAUGACUUGAUCACCCUUUUACUUUAUAAUGAAUUUUGUUUAUUUUUGAGGUGUGAAGAAUAUUUAUGUGCAUUUUAAUUUAUUGGACCAAGAACUUUGUUUGAUAUGAUGCACUUUUGGUUGUAGGAUUAUAAAGUUUGACUGAUAUGAUGCACUUUUGGUUGUACAAAUCUGAAAACAUUGCUUUACAUGAUGAGUUUGAUGUUCAAAUGCGGUUGUAUAUUGGCUGUACAUUGGUUGUACACAGCCGCACAUCCGGUUUUACAUCUUCACAUAUGCACCAUCUAUUGGAGUUGGAGUUCUACAUCACAAAUCUGUUGGAGGCGAUAAUAUGGAUCAGAGGGAGUAGCAAGAAUCAUCAUUAUGCACCACAGGAGGUGGUGUAACACGGCCUUAGCACAAGAAUAGUCCAAAACUACAGUCACAACAACAAUAAUACUCAAGCUGCUACUGAUGGAGAAUGCGUUAAAUACGCAGGGUUGGAUGUCUACAGGUGAAGGUGUCUACAGGUGAAGGUGUCUACAGCGUUAAAUACGCAGGGUUGGAUGUCUACAGGUGAAGGUGUUCCAGCGGCACUGCAAGCAGCAAUGCCAAUUCUCAUCCAGAUUAUGAGCGGUUGUAUUUCAGUUUGCAUUAGAGACCAUGAUAUCAAACAAGUCAGAACUCUAAGACCAAGACAUGUUGGACACUGACACAUUGUUAUAGUGAACAUAUCAGAUAUAAAAAGCUUAGUAAAAAGAAAGAUAUCAGCAGCUUAUAAUAAAUAAAUAAAAUAAAUAAAUAAAAUAAAUAAAUAAACAAACAAUACCAGACAUCAGGAACUUGCAAAAACAAGGUACGUAGAAAGACAAUGUGGCAAAUGGCCAAAUAUAUUAACCAAUAUAGGUUAUGAGUUUGCUCCUCUCACAAUUUAUCCGCAAUUCGAACAAUUGCAAAAAUGUUACAGGUAUCGUCGUAGCCCUCUUAGAAACCUAAGCAGACGGAGGUAGGAUAAAGAUAUUAACUUCCUAAACUGGGUACACAAAAAAGUAGAAGAAACCUGAUGCAGAACAAAUCUAC